AAGAGGAGGAGGAGGAGUUUGGAUUUGAUAUCCCACUUUAUCACUACCCUAAGGAGUCUCAAAGCGGCUAACAAUCUCCUUUCCCUUCCUCCCCCACAACAAACACUCUGUGAGGUGAGUGGGGCUGAGAGACUUCAGAGAAGUGUGACUGGCCCAAGGUCACCCAGCAGCUGCAUGUGGAGGAGCAGGGAAGCGAACCCGGUUCACCAGAUUACGAGUCCACUGCUCUUAACCACUACACCACACUGGCUCUCAAUCCCACUGUAGCACUGUGAGGGGAAUAGAGCUCUCCCAACCACUCUCAGCACCCUUAGCAAACUACAAUUCCCAGGAUUCAGGGGGGGGGCCACAACUGCUUGCAAUGGUGUGGUGUUGCUUUUAAGGUAUAGUGCAGAUGGGACUGCGGGGUCCGGGCUCCCACGCAAGUCAGUUAUCAUGCCACAAGCAGAAUUCCAUCAUUCACUCCUGCAAACAUCAAUACUUCAAAAGUGACCUGGGCAUGCCAGAAGCUGGAUCCAUGUCCAUACACAUGAGCAGAGCACCAUAUAUUACGACUGGCAGGGCACAACACCAGAGACCACACCUAUAGACCCUCCAAGUGACCCUAUUUUCCAGGGAGAGUCCUGAAUUUGCAGAAGCCGUCCCGGUUUCUGGUUUCAUCCCAGAAUGUCCUGCUUUUCCUUAGAAUUUCCCUAUUUUCAUUGGAGAAAUAUUGGAGGGUAUGGAGUUAGGUGACCCCUGAGCCAAUGAGAUAAGUAACUAUACAAACUCUAGAAAACAUCUAAGGCAGACCUUUAUAGUUUUAUUGUGUUUUUAUAUAUGUUGGAAGUCACCUAGAGUGGCUGGGGCAACCCAGUCAUAUGGACAGGAUAAUAAUAAUAAUAAUAAUAAUAAUAAUAAUAAUAUUAUCUCUAUUUUCAUCAGAGAAAUGUUGAACGGUAUGCACCUGUUCAUUUACUUUGCUGAGCAGGUUAUCCCUGUUGCAUUUAGCUGAGGAAGGUAUACAGAAAGAUCAGCAAAUGGGAAGGAUAAGUUGAAGAUGAGACAACUACUUUGCCUCCCAUUUCACUGGGAAAUUUUUAAGAUACUCCUAAAUUCUCCCAUUUCUGGGCUAGCAAUUCCAGCUAAGAGCUGCACAUGCAGCCUAUUCCCAUAGCCCAUGCAGCCUUGUGGAAAGGUCAAGAAAUGUUCGUUCUCCUUUUGUGUCAUCUACCAGUUGACCACUGUUGGAAUAAUCAUCACAGCUGCUCAGGAAGCUAAGAAGCUUUUGGCCAUUCCCACCCCGCGCCCUUUCUAAAACCCUCCUUUCCUUGCACAUAUAAAAUGUGAAUUUGCAUUCCUUUUUUUUCUAUGUCUGCAAUAUGAUUCCCCCCCCCCUUGUGCUAACAUUUCUUGGGGGGGGGGUUGUUGUUAAGGAUUUAUAAUGCACUUUUCUUCCAAAAAGUAUAUGCAACCCAAAGUAGCUGAUGCACUACCCAUUCAUUGCAAUGUGAAGAAAUAUAUUUGAAAAUAAAUGGCUCAACAAUAGGAAAACGGAGAGAACAAGAGAAAACAACACCGAGUGAAAUUGAAUGAAAAUUUAUGCCUAAGCAGAAAUGUUUUGGCUUCUCCUCUGGACGACUCCUUGCAAUUGUGCCACACCCCUAAGCCGCUACUGGAAUUCCAUGUGCAAGCCUUAGUGUGGGGUUUCUAGCCUUCUACUACUGCUCAUGACUGCCAAUGACAGUUCUCUUUUGGCACAAUGCUUCUGUUUCCAUCUGCAAAACAACAACAAACCUACGGUUACGUGAAACAUACUCAGUAAACACACAAGACGUAACCGGCUGUACUUUUGAAUAAAUAAGGUAUACUAUUCAUUGUAUCAAAUUGUAGAUUUCAACAGAAGUCUCAUAAAGUUCAACGAAAAAAGCAGAAGACCCAGUGGAUCAGUUCAUUCUUUAGUCAGUUCAUGCAUAAGGCCCAUACAUCUAUAAGUAUCUCUUCCACCUGUCUGUUCUUAGAGUCCAAUAAUCCACAUGCAGGGUUGUUACAGUUCCACAGAAUCCUUUCACAGAGUCUAAGACAAGUACAAUCUCUAAUCCAAGAAUUGCUAGUUGAUCAUAAUCAGUCUUCUCCACCAUUUUUUAAUGGAGAUUCUAGAUUUAGUUCCAUCGAAUAAUUUCUUUAGGUUUGGUUCAAAGUACUUCAUUCAAAAACAAGGUGUAGCUUUGGGCUCGAAAUGUGCUCCCAGUGUGGCCAACAUCUUUAUGAGAAAUUUUGAUUUAGAACACAUUGUUCAUAAUAAUCCAUUUAGUGAAUAUAUUCUGUUUUAUGUCCAAUAUAUAGAUGAUCUGAUAUUCAUAUUUUCUGAGGAUAUUUUUGAAUCGUUUAACCGCUGGAUCAACAGUGUAAGUCCACACUUGACCUUUGAUGGGACAUCAAGUCCACAUUAUUUACCUUUUCUUCAUCUGGAAAUUGUUGUGGAUGAUUUAAGAAUCAAAGUGCAUCCUUAUAAGAAAAGCACAGAUAGAAAUUCUUUGUUACAUUACAGAUCUAACCAUCCCAAACAUCUCCAUGAUAAUCUUCCCUUAGGUCAGUUUCUAAGAUUAAAACGCAAUAAACGUGUGUUUAUUGAGUCUGUUUCCAUCUGUGCAAGGAGCAACAAAUUCAAUAAGAAAGAGCAUGGGCUUCUGCUCAGUUAUCCCACUUUUUCUGUAUAGUUGUUCUUGUUGUUUAGUCAUUUAGUCGUGUCCGACUGUUCGUGACCCCGUGGACCAGAGCAUGCCAGGCACUCCUGUCUUCCACUGCCUCCCGCAGUUUGGUCAAACUCCUGCUGGUAGCUUCGAGAACACUGUCCAACCAUCUCAUCCUCUGUCGUCCCUUUCUCCUUGUGCCCUCCAUCUUUCCCAACAUCAGGGUCUUUUCCAGGAGUCUUCUCUUCUCAUGAGGUGGCCAAAGUAUUGGAGCCUCAGCUUCAUGAUCUGUCCUUCCAGUGAGCACUCAGGGCUGAUUUCCUUAAGAAUGGAGAGGUUUGAUCUUCUUGCAGUCCAUGGGAUUCUCAAGAGUCUCCUCCAGCACCAUAAUUCUGUAUAGUGGUAUGGGCUAAACCUAGAUGGAGAGGGCAAGAGGGAAAGGCAGCAGUAACAUUUGCAAGGAAGGGAAGGGUUCACUGAUUGCAUUGCAAAUAUGAUGAUGAUGACGGAGCUAUGAUUGGCAAAGGAUAUAACACAAAAUUAUAAAAACUGAUGUCUUUAAAGUCUAAUUAAUUGGCUGUUUUAUGGUCUUUUGCUAGGAUUGUCUUUAGCCCUCAAAUUACUAAUAUGAAUAUUGGCCCUUUGCCGAUAUUAUAUGGAAUCGAAGGUCCACUCGUCCUAAGCAGAGGUAAACCCCACUAAGUUCAAUGGCACUUCCUCCCAGGUAUAUGUGUAUAGGAAUGCAGCCAUUGCUUCUUCCUUUUGUCAGGCUGCAAACAAAUACAGGCUACAUUCAAAGGAGUAAUUCACCAUGACUUCCUCCUUACCCCCCCCCCCCUUGUAACUGAAGCUCUGAAAUUCCAAGUGCUCUUCUGUUCUUUUUAUUUUAGCUGCAGCAUGUUUCAGCUAUCCUUCCAGGGCUCUGUGUCAACCUGGCACUGCAGAUUGUGAACUGUUUGCUUCUGUUAGGCUGAUCUACUUUUUAGGAAACAGCAGCCUUCCUGGAAAUGAAAUCAAUUAAAGUAAUCAGGAGGCCUCUAGUGGCUUACAGUUUCUGAGGAUAUUUCCUCAGAGGCUGUGCCCAUAAAGUCAUGUAGAAACGCACACUGGGAUAGCGAAAAUAAAGAAGAUUGGUGUAUGUUGUUGCCCGGUGUUUAGAAAUCAAGAGCUCUUCCGUUAUAUCAGGCUCCGGGUAUUUAUGAAUAGUUUUCCUUGAAGUCCGUUGAGUAUUUUACACAGAAUUUCCUGGGAAGCGAAAAAGAGGCGGCCUUUGCUCGCCUGUGCAAAUAACAAGAGAAGAAUUUCAAAGCGAUGACCUGUAUAUAUUUGGACUGGCUGCUGAGGUGGUCUUGAUCCCAGCUCCAGCAAAGUCCACUAACUAGAAAUGCUUUUUGGGGGGAGCAACAUUAUGGUUCAUAAACUGAAUUCCUCCCAAAUAAUGAAUUGAUUUUAGAAUGCUGUAUUAUUUUACUGUUGUUAGCCGCUCUGAGCCCAGCUUCGGCUGAGGAGGGCGGGAUAUAAAUAAAAUUUUAUUAUUAUUAUUAUUUUAUUCAUUCAGCAAGGUUUUAUAGGGAAGCUUUGUAUCCCUGCUCCCUUUUCCUUCCCCCCCCUUUUUUUUAAGUAAAGCAGGGUUCCAUACCCUCGAACUGUACCUAUUUAAUGCCAUGGUGUUAUGUACUGAAUUUAUUCCUAGUUCUGGAACUUCCCUUCCCCUUAGAGUGACACAGUACUGUCUGUUUUGCUAGGGAACUAGAUGAGACAACUUGGCCAGUCUGCACUGAAUGUUCAGUUAAUGUUUUGGGAGAAUAAGACUUUGCUCAAAAACAGAAGUGUGGCAAUCAUACUACAUCUCAAUGUUGCACAGAAAAGAGUAUUUGAACUAGACCCGAGAAGACGCCACUUCCUUCUUUAGUGUCUGUUUUUGACAAGUUGUACAACCUGUGGCCCAUUUUUCAAUUAUCGUUGGGUCCUCACAUAGCAUUUUCAUCUCUAUUCAUCUGAACUUGGAGUGUAUCUCUUGGCAGUGAAAUCAUGUGACAUUGGGUUGCCAUUUUAGCAUCACCUCCUGCCUGCAUCUUCCCUGAGUUGCUGUCUUCACCCAUAUUUGAUUUUGAUUUGAGCUUUUGCAAGUGGAGGUCAAAGCAGCUCGCACCAACAAUAAAGCAUUCACAAAUAAAAGCAAUAUUUCCUAAUUGUGAGGGAUACAAUAAAUAUAUAAAUAUAAUAAAUGGAUUGAAAAUGAUAGCAUGACAAAUACAAUAAAUGAAUUGAAAAUGUAUAAAUCACAAAAUGAGCAAUCACACUUUACAUUGUGGGUGCCUUUUGCAGGAUCACGCGCGGCGCUACAGUUCCCAGGGAACUUAAUGGCAAACAGGGGCUGGCCUGCCUCUCAGUGUUAUUAUUUGGAGGUUCGCACCCAGCCUCAGUAGUCAUAUUUCGUUGCUGGGAGGUGGGGCCAGUCCCAUUUAUAUAUAGGGGGUGGAGCCAACAGUAGCCAGGCAGUCAGCUCAGGAGAUUCACCCACCCUCCCCUCACUUAGUUUAAUGUUUUCUUGUUUGCAGGUUAACUUUUUCUUACUUUUUUGUGGACGCUGCUGCGGUCUUUGACUGGUUGCUGUUGAAGGACCGGGAAGAAAUUUUCCUGCAUUGGCACGUUUUGUCUUCCCUGUAGCAAUUUGUCACAACUUUGGUGGUUUAUGGCCUGGGGUGGAAUCCUUUAGUCUUUUCUUCCCUAUAAUGGGGGGUGGGGGUGAAAUGGUGACUCACCCCCCUGCAGCAGUGAUUCCAGGGUCCCCUCUCAAAAGGGGUUAUAUAACGGGUGUCACUGGCCAUACACUGAAAGGUUGUCAGUGAACUACCCUGCGUGUGGGGAUAUGGGCUGGGCUGCCUGCGUACACUUACGUCUUGCAGUGCACCCCCAUAUCGCAUUUACCCAGAUGUUCCCCUGUUCCCCCAGCUGGGGGGGGGGCUGGGAGGGGUACAUGUCCAAGGCCUAAGCCAAGGUCUUCCUACAUUCAGAAGUUUAAUAAAGUUGUGGCCUAAUUUUAAUUCCAUAACACGUUGUCAGAGUCUUUAUUCCUUUCUUAUGAUCCCUGGGAGCUGGGGCUGUCGCUGCCUGGUCACACAAUACAGAUCAAUCAUAAUCAAGCGUCUCCACCCCUAUAUUUCUGCCCGGACACUGAGGUCCAGUGCUGAUGGCCUUCUGGCGGUUCCCUCGCUGCGAGAAGCCAAGUUAUGGGGAACCAGUCAGAGGGCCUUCUCGGUAGUGGCACCCACCCUGUGGAACGCCCUCCUACCAGAUGCCAAAGAGAAGAACAACUACCAGAUUUUUAGAAGACAUCUGAAGGCAGCCUUGUUUAGGGAAGCUUUUAAAGUUUAACAGACCACUGUAUUUUAAUACUUUGUUGGAAGCCGCCCAAGGUGGCUGAGGAGACCCAACCAGAUGGGAGGGGUAUAAAUAAAUUAUUAUUAUUAUUAUUAUUAUUAUUAUUAUUAAACAUCAAUCAAGCAAGACCCCUCCUCCAAAUAAAAAAAUCUAUAACACCAUCAAACAAGUUACCCCAUCUCUCACCCAAGGUGCACACAAUUUUCCCCCGCCUCUCACCUGGGGACACACGUUUCACUAACUAAUCAGAGGCAGAUUUAGGGAAGCACAAACAGUUCAGUCACACUGGGCACAGAGCUUCGGGUGUGCUGUGGGAGGUACCACAGCUAUGAUGUAAAAUGGAAGGCGAGAGGCAGGGGGCACUGAAUUUUGGUGUCACACAGGGUGCCGCUGAAAUCUGAGUCUCCAAGCUCCACCACUGAACUGACUCUCAUCUUCUCUCCAGCUAUGCCUUCGUUCACCACAUCUCAGAGACAUGAGGAGGCCAGGCCUCAAAUUCAUAUUACAAGCUCAGUCCCUCAUUGGUUGCCUAAUAUCCCCUGACGUUUUUAUCCCUGCCAACCAAUAAGACAUUGGGAGGCAGCAGCUCUUGGAGCCCUGAGCGCCAUCAUCGUGCAAGCUGACAGUACUGUCCUGAGUAGUACCAAAGGCAAACCAAACCAUCGCUACAGAUUUUUAAAUAGAACACGUUUUUCAAAGAGGACUUCCACAAGAUGGUGACGUUUUGCAGUGCUGCUGAAGAACACAGAACACGGUGAGUAUUACAGUGCAAAGGAAAGAGAGUGAACAAGUGAGCACUAGUCACUUAAAGAAAUUUCAACAAACAAAAAUAGUUUUUCCAAAAGAAGUGUGGGAGAGUCAAGUGAAUUCAUGGUCCCAUCAAAAUAAGUCUGUUGUUGAUUUUUUAAACAAAAACUGAAUCUUUAAAAGAAAUCAAGUAGUCCUUUAAUAAAGGUGACACCUAAUUUCUCCUUGAACAGAAUUUCCAGUGCAUUUUUCCUGCCUGAGAGGAAUCCGAAAACUCUGAGGUGAAUUUGAUAAUACAGAACCCAUGUGAAGGUCUGUUGCUUUCUGGUAAAAUACCUGUAGAAUUUUGAGGGACUUGGGGAGAAUCCAAUUUCGGCCUUCCACAAGCAGCUUGUGUAACAGCGUUCUGACCUGGGAUGUUUACCACCACUUUAUCACUAAUAUACAGAUAUAAGGAAUGCUUCAAUUCAGUUUCAGAAAGGGUUUGUGGAUAUGGAAUUGUUUCAGCUCACCUUUGGCUGGCUCCAUGUACUUAGGUCUAUCACUGUUACCCAUCAGACUGUAGACUCGCUGAAGGUUACAGGUGAAUAACUACAUGAGAGUGCAGCGCAAUUGUUGGUGUUCACAGAUUGUACACUCAUUUAAUGUGGUGUGUGCAAUGCCAGCACCUGGCUAUUUUGUGCCCCAGGAAAACUACUUACUACUUGCCCUCUCCCCGUCCCGCUGCCAAAAUGCUCAAUAAUGCCUACACUGACCGGCAGCAACCACUGAACAAUACGGCUCAGUACUGUCCACCCUGACUGGCAGCAACCACCAAACGAGUGCAACUCAGUAUCACCGAAACUGACUGGAUGCUAAAAGCAGGAGAGUGAGUGGUGAGGCUGUGAAGGCAGGGAACUCCCCAACCACCGGGCUGCUCGAUCCAAGGCAAAACCAAAAGGCUUAAUCCAAAGGCUGCAAAAGAUGAUCGCCACAUAGGAUCCAGCGAGGAAGGGCAAGAUCCAGCAAAGGGUGAGAGAGGAGCAUUCCCUGGCCGUGCCAUAAUUUAAAUUUCCUGUGGCCAUGCCCCCUACCGGCACUGAUUGGACAGCGGGGUCACCCCGGGUGUGGCCCCACCCAAUGCUGGUGAUGUGGCCGGGAUGGCACGAGGGGGGUGUCAAUCUCCACCCCCCACCGGAUCACUGCAGGAGCCCAGAUGCCUGGCUGCAACACCAUCUACCGGAAAAGGUGAGCAGAGCACUUGUCCCGCUGCCAAAUUGCUAACAUCAGUUUUCAAAAACAGGUGUCUUGUAGGAAAAAUGACACGCACAAAACUUGAAACUGCUCCGUUUAUUUUAAAUUGCAAGAAUAAGUAAUGCAACCAUCUUUGAUCUUUCUCAAAUAGAAAAGAAUUUUUUCCAGCACAAAAUUCAUUUUGAAUAAUCUGGUGAAUUGUGAUGUUAAAAUUUCAAGUCUCUUCAAAGUUUUGAUUCCAGGCACAUCCAAAUUUCACGACGUGUGCCUUUUUCUUUGCAAUUUUGGACACCAGUUCCUUCAAGUCAACAUGCUUGCACAUGUUCAAAUGAUAUCGCUGCCAAGUCAAGUAUUUAUUUUAUUAUUUUCACUAGUCUCUUUUGCAACAUUGUACGUUUUUAUAGGUAUGAGCUUUGGGGUGGGGUGGGGGACUGCGUUCAAAAUAUAAAAAUAAAAUUAUCAGAAAUUUAUAAGAUAUAAUCAAAAUUAAUCUGUAUAACACUGUGCCCCUCAAACGUCUGUGCCCUAAGCGGCUGCCUAGUUGGGCUAAUGAUAUUAUUGACUCUGAACAUGUGAACACGCCUGUCAAGGUGGCCUGAUGAGAGGGUGCUUAAAGGGGACUCACAAAUGUAUGGCUAAUUCUGGAGUGGUGCUGGUUUAGAUGUUCUUGCUUCGUUGCAUAUGAAUUUCCCUUUAUCUGUUCCUGUAUUGUGUUGCUGACAUCCUUUUUUUCUUUUCUUUUUUUACGAAAGUUCUUAAUUCCUAGCACUCCGAAUCACCUCCACAAACUAAGCUUUGUUGUAGGUGACUUAGUCACCAUGUGAUCUGCUUAUUAUUAGAACACAUUCAGUUCUCCAACACCCUAAAAUCUCUCUCUCUCUGCAUAUAUAUAUAUAUAUAUAUAUAUAUAUAUAUAUAUUCUCUGUAUCCUAGCAGAAAAGUGGCACAUGACCUCCUGUCCUCAAGAAUACUUGGCACAAAUCCCUGCAUCUUCACUGAACUCUAUUGUUCCAGAGGGGAAUAAUACCAGCAUACAAAAGUCUUGCUGACACUUCUAACUUGAAACACAAAAUGCCAUUAAUCAAAUGGUUGAAUCUGUUUGGGGUGGGUGGCGCAAAAUCAAGGCAAACACAGGAGGUGAUCUUCCUUGGACAACCUCAAGAAGAAAAUGAGCGAAAGAUACGUUUUAGGACUUUCAUUUUCCUUUGCACAGAUAUAAAGAAUCUUCCGUUCUACAUAUGUUGAAAGCUGCUUCAUACCAGAUCAGACUUUGUCAGCCAUGCCCCGUGUUAGGUAUUCUGACCACAGUGGCUGUUCUGCGUCUCAGUUAGAGGUCUUAUCUUAUUACCUCUUAGCUGAUUCUUUCAACAGGAGAUGCCACGGACUGAACCAGGAACUUUCUCCCUGCAAUACAUGUUUGCCACUAAUGGGCUCCAGUCCUUUCACUAGAUCAGAUGCAGGGAACCUUCAGACAUUGCUGAACUACAACUCCCAUCACCCCUGGCUGUUGAGCAUGCUUGGUGGGGCUGAUGGGAGUUGCAGUUCAGCAAUAGAGGGACUGUGAGUAGGGAUCAACUCAGGCAAGCAAUAGGUUGGCAAUUCCCUUCCUAUGCUAGAGGAAUUUGUGCGUGCCUGAGACAGAGAUGUAGUGGUCUGGGUCAUGAGUGGGGUCAAAGUUCCAUUGCCAUUUCUGCAGCAGAUUCCCUGUCUCCAACAUCCUACGGCUGGCCAAUCAGCUUUUUAGCUACUGAGAAGUCUUCUCACCCUUUGCACUGAUUGAAGCCAAUCAGAGUUGAAGGAGGUGAGUCAGCCACUGAUGAUUGGCUCCUAGGGUGACUCUGGAGAAUAUGUAGGAAGAACACCGUAUGCUUCAAAGCUGAGCAUUUGAGAAGGCUGAAAAUAUGAGGUGGUCAGUUUUAAGAAAUGGCAUGCAAGUUCUGUUACUUACAAUGGAUCUUCGAGGAAAACACAACUUAGGUCACUCAGAAAGAACACAUUGGAGCACUCUAAAUCAACUGCACAUGGAUUUGCAUAGCAAAUAGUGGAUCUAACUGGAAGGCAAUGCAUGCAGAGAUCUGCAUUAAUCAUUGCAGUGCAUCCCAAAUUACUGUUAUUGUAUAAUUAUAAAAUUAUUGUAUAAUUAUAAAAUUAUUGUAUAAUCUUUGAAGGGGGCAUGGCUGUGACUAUUGUGAAGGGACCCUGCACUUCUGAAUUUGCCACUAAACUACUGACCUCGGGUAGGUCUUGAGGAGAGAUUGCACAUGUGACAAUAUGCCCAGUGCCGCAAUUUUAAAGCUGUGUACAAAUGGCCUCUGUACAAAUCUCCACCUAAGUGGCAAUUGCUUUCAGAGUCAUUCCCCCACCUCCUUUUUUCUGGAUUGCCGGAAAACAAUCCGGCACCCGUUGAUGAUAGACAUCAACGCACCACCACCGCAUUUUCCUGAAGUUAGUGGCAGCCUCUCCUUCACGUCAAUUUGGCAAAAGGCCGCUGAGUUUGUGCACCAGUUAGCUGCCAGCAAGGCAGCCGGGUGCUCUGCUCACUGGCUUAAUAACAAUGGCCUGAAGUGAAAGCAUUUUCCCAGCUUCGCCUUUUAGUUCAGCUGGCAUAAUGAUAAGACAUUGUUUUCCUCAAGUCAUAUCCCAUUCCCUGACGCUGCCUGCCAGUUCUAGGAAGUCAUAAGGUGGUCUGGUGUUAGCUUCACUUUCCCCCUGCCCCUUGCCCCUGGGGAACUCUACGUCUGUGUCCAGCAUCUGCCCUGUCUUCCUUUUGUGACCAUCUUGAGGCACAGAACACAGGACAAGCAGAUUUCAGAAACAUCUUUAUGUCAGCACGUUACCUCUGUUGUGUCUUGAGCGGCCUCCCUCCUCCUUCAGUGACCUCAUGCUCCUUCUGUCCUUGCAGAACACUGGCCUGUUAUAUGUCUUAAUCUCUUGCACAAUCCUCAGUUCCUUUAAUUCUUUGCCUUUGCUUUCCUUAUCAUUUUCAUUGCACUGAACUUCCAUUCCGUAAUCUGUCCACUUUCUCCAAUGACCAUGGUGUUUUAUACCGUGUGCGUCUUUCCACUACUGUUUGCUCCUCAUUUUCCAUCCAUGUCAGCUCCUACUAUGCCUCUGCUUUCUCUAAGGCCUGAGAUGAGCAUAAGAAUAUAGGGACAUAAGAAGACUCCGCUGGAUCAGGCCAGUGGCCCAUCUCAUCCUGCACCCUGUUUGCAUCGGGGCCAACCAUGGGAAGCCCACAAGCAAGACCUGAGCACAUGAGCACUGUCCCCUCGUGCACUUCCCAGCAACUGGAAUUCAGAAGCAUUCCUGCCUCUGACAUUGGAGGAAGAUGCUUUGCAACUGGAAAUCUACUGGGAAGCUUGCGGUAUUAUAAAGAUGAAUGUGAGAGCCUAAAUUUUGUUUAGAGUAGGGUAUGGUAGUUGGUAGCCAGCAGGCUCGAUCUGAUCCUUUUAAGAUUGCCAUAUCCCACCCACCCCUCCCACCAAUUCCCAAUGCACUCCUCACUCCUUUCUGGGCCAUGCACAUGACACCUGGUAGAUAUGCACUCCCCAAACAAUGAUAACCUAUUUGUGAAACAGUAAUGCAGAGAAAGAAAGUCAGGCAGAAGAACAUUCUGAGGGGCCACUACAGAGAAGGCCCUGCUUCAUAUGGAAACUAAUCCAAUCUCCAAAUAGCUUAACAACUUCAGCAAGGCUCCAAUAGCUGAUCUCAUACUGAGCAGGGAGAGUCUGACGGGGAGGAAAAACUCUCCUUGAGAUAAAUAUUUUCCUUCCUUUGGCAUUCAUCCUGGGGAAAGGAUUAUCCAUUGAAACAGACAAUAAAUUCUUCUCAUUCUUGUGCAAUGUGCCUUUAAAUGUUUGUCUUAAAUGUCCCUCUGAUUUUUGAGCAUUUUUUUCCUCUUUCCAAUUGAGAAACCCCUGGGAUCUGUGUGUGCAUAACUGUGCCCUAAAAUUGCUGCCUUGGCCACUGACCAUAAUCUAUCCCCUCUUUAGCGGCUCCUGGGUGCAGAUGCAAGCCAUCUCUUAAACUGCCACUGUUCUUUUGCUUUCAGUACCGUCCAAGGCUGGGCGAAUCACAAAAAUCCAUAAAAAGGCUGCUACAAAGCACCUAAUUUUGCUCUAUUAUUCCUAAGGGACACAUUUCUUCUGGGCACAUCUGGUGAUCACAUUAUUAUGCCCUGAAGCAUGAGGACUCAUAAGGAUUAGAUGAAUCUUCCCUCCCAUGCUGGUUCUGCACAUCCAUAACCAGAGAUGUCUUAAAACAGACAAGACCCUCCGCGCUUGGAGGGCACCAGGUUGGUGGAAGUAGCCAUAAAGAAUCACUUCCAUGCAUCACCCAAAAGGACUGGCAUGCGCCAUAGACAGUUAACAUUUUAUUUUUGAGGCCCGCGAGCGGAGUGGCUGGAAAAACAAAAGGAACACCUGGGAAUACAUAUCUGACUACAUUUUACAGAUAAAAAGCCCCUUUUUUCACCCUAUCCCUUUUGCAUUGCUGAAAGCUCUUUUUCACCUACUGCAUGCUGUACAGUGGUACCUCGGGUUACAUACACUUCAGGCUACAUACGCUUCAGGUUACAGACUCCGCUAACCCAGAAAUAGUACCUCAGGUUAAGAACUUUGCUUCAGGAUGAGAACAGAAAUCGUACUCCGACGGCGUGGCGGCAGCAGGAGACCCCAUUAGCUAAAGUGGUGCUUCAGGUUAAGAACAGUUUCAGGUUAAGUACGGACCUCCGGAACGAAUUAAGUACUUAACCCAAGGUACCACUGUAUUCAUUUUCUCUUCAACAACCUAAACAGCCAGAGGUGCUGACUUCGGCCCCAGCCUGUGUGUGUCACAUGAUGUCAUGUCGCACGCACACCCAUGCCACCACUGCCCUCCAGCGCCACUUUCACAGUGGCGACGGGGGUCGGGCGGCGCAAUGUAGGUGCACGUCUGCGGCAUCAGCAGGCCCCAACAGAGGUCCCACAAUGGAGGCAGAGGACCCUGCCCAGUUGCCGCCACGGCACCAGAGAGCUGGAGGUAAGGCAGCAGGCAGCGGUGGGUGGAGGCCAGGUAUGCACAGUGAAUAUUUUGUUGUUGCCCAGGCUCCCAGGGACCCCAGGAGUUGUCACCCAUGUAAACAGCAUGGUAACCUUGUGCCAGCAACUGCCUCUCAGCCUAACAGGGUUAUUGUGGGAGAGAAGUGAAUAUUGCGUUAUGGCAGAAGCAGUUCCCUGCCCCAAGGAGCUGACAAUCUAAACAGUGAGGAAGUAAGAGGGGGUCUGGGAUAGGGUUGCUGUAUUUCAAACAGUGAAAAUCCGGACAGAAAAGUUGCUGAGCUUUGAGCUAUUUUUAUGGGGAAACGACAAAAACAGUGCUGCCAACAUAGGCUGCCAUACGUCCGGAUUUCCCCAGACAUUAGACCAAUUUCCACCCAGACACUGCUGCCAACUGCAGUAUUCCAAAUAUGUCCAGGAAAAUCCAGACAUAUGGCAACCCGAGCCUGGGAUAAACACGAUAAAACUAUGAAGAUCAAGGCAAAUGUAGGGAGAAACAUGAGCAAAUCUAGUUUGACAUAUUUGGGAUUUUUCAAAGAUUAGUCCAAGGUGUAAAAUGUUCUCCUUCUCUUUACUCAUUUUUGUGGGUCCCAUUUUCUACCUUACACCCAGUUUCCUCUCCGCAAAAAGACCAGCUCUUCUCCCUGCUAUGCUAACAAAUGUCAAAAUCCCCCCUUUCAGUUUCAUCAGCAAAGAAUGUGUUGAGAUCACACUGUUCCGUAACAAGGACUGCAGACAGGGAUUUAAACGCUGUAUACUCUCCAUUCAUCUUCAAUAUCAUUACAACUUGUUUAAAGCAUUUCCGUCCAUUCAGUGAGAAAAGCCCGGGAGGCAGCAGGGGCUGUAGCAGGCUUCAGGCUGCUAAAUUUUCGCUUGAGCGCCAGUAUCAUAAAAGCUGAAGGGUCUGAUUUCUGAAAACAGUUUAGGGUUGUUGUGGAAGCGUUUGCGAUGAGCAGACUGGAGGAAACAGAAUGCUCAGGCACCUGUGCACCUGCCUAUACAGGCUCUCUCAAAGAGGAAGUGAUGUCAUUAAGGUCGCGCCGUAGUAACAAUGAGGAGAAACUGAUGAAGAGCUGUUUCAUAGCCUUUCUCUAAUCCUGAUGUCCUGUCUGUGUCUAGAGGGCAAGUAUAAAACAUGUUUUUCCAAGUUGCAGAAGGAAGUAUAAGCGAUUAGUACUCACCAGACAACUCACAUAGAAGAUUAAUCAGGCAUGAAGCUAGUUCUGAAGUGAAAAGUCUUCAUGGUUUUUUUAGUGGGGGGGGGAGAGAGAACAUUUCCCACACGUAGAGAAAUUUAGCAUAAUCAGGAGCAUAGUGGGAGGUGUGAAAGUAUGUGAAACCUGCAUGUGUAAGAAAGGAAAUAUUUUAGAAACUUCACUUUUGUGUCAUAUAAUCAUAGAAUUUUAGCGUUGGAACUCCAGUGGUCAUCUAUUCCAACCCCCUGCAAUACAGGAAUCUCAGCUAAAGCAUCCAUGACAGAUGUCCUUCCAAUCUCUGCUUAAAAACCUCCAUUCUACUGUCAAGCAGCUCUUACUGUCAGAAAGUUCUUCCUGAUGUUUAGUUGGAAUCUUAUUUAUUGUAACUUGAACCCAUUGGUUUGAGCUCUACCCUCCAGAGUAAGAGAGAACUUUUUUUGUGGUUACAUUGAGAGAAAUGAAGGGGAAAUUAUUUCACUUUGGUUCAGCUUUGUUAUCAAGCCCUACCCCAUGAGGGAGUUGCAAAGUGGCCUUCCUCGUUCGCCCAAGAUGGUUUCCAAGACAGUACAAUCUCAUCUUGUAUAGGGGUUACAUUAUGGAGAUAGUGUGUAUAUGCAAAAAAAAUGUGUAUACUCAAACCUCCACCUUGAACCAUCCCUGCUCAGGCUAUUCUGGAGCUAUGCGCCGAGUGGGUCUUGACCCCCAAGCAAAUCUUUGUUUACCGGGCUCUAGGAUGCUCUUGUGAGAUCUCUUGGGGCCAUCCAAGUUCUUGCGAGAUCUCUUGAGAGCACAGUAAGCAAGGUAGAGAGCUUAAAACCUCUUUCUAUGCUCGGAAAUCCCUGUGCAAAAAUAGUUUUAAAGCUCUCUGCCUUCCAUGCAUUUAAUUUGUGUGAUUUCAAGCUACUGGACUUCAACCGCCUAAGGUUGAAAUCACACAUGUUAAACGUGUGUAAGUUGUGAUCGUACUGUACUCAUAAAAGCACAAGAUGAGCCAAUGGCCUGUUUAGAUAGAUAGAUGAGCCCAUUUGAUCCCACCGUGCUAGAAUAUAAACAGAAAAUUAAGGUCACAAGGACAGGGUGAAUGAAAAUCUUGCAUGGGGGAGAGUGUUCCAGAGACUGGUGCCACUGCAGAGAAGUCCCACUUCCAUUUUGUCACUAGAUGACAAUCUGCAAGUAGUUACUGAGAGAUAAGAGGACCUGUGCCCUUAUCUCCUUACUGCUCUACAAUAUAUCAGUUUUUUAUAUAUUUGAUGUACAAAGCUUUUUGAAACUAUGCAUGACAGCUUUAAAGCACAUUCUAAGCACAUUCUUUCCCUCAAAGAAUUCUAGGCACUCACAGUUACAGUCCCCAGAAAUCCUGAACAAACUACAGUGCCCAGAAUUCCUUGAGGGGAAAAUGUGUUUUGAAUGUGCUAUAAAUGUAUAGUGUGUAAUUAGUAUAUAAUUAGUGUCUUCUGGAUCUUUUCUAUCCACCUACGUAUUGGCAUUUUCAACGAACUCUAAAAGGUUAGAUAGAUGGUGUUCUCCUUUGAGGUUCUUCUUCAGCAAGACGUCUUCAUUUAUAUGCUUGGCAAUUUUAUUUUUAUUAUAGCUUUCCAUCAGUUAUCUUGGAACAUACAUUAAGCUAACGAGUCUGUAACUACCCAGAUCCCUUUUAAAAAAAACUGGUGUUAGAUCUGUUCUCAGUUAUGGCCGCUGAUCACGGGGAUCUGUUACAUACUUUUGUUAGAAGAUUUCAUCAGCAUUUUAAAUGAAUAUUUUAUAUCUCAAGUUAAACAGCUUAGGAGUUUUUUGUUGAUUAAGUAGUAUAUAAACUUGUAAAAUAAACUCAAUUUCUUUAAGAGCUCCCAGAUGCCUACUGUAUGGAGCUGGUGGUUUGUACAUCUUUUUAUUUAUCAAGAAGGCCUAUUUGUCACCACUAUUUCUCUCUGCUCUUCAAACUCAUCUCCUGAAAAUGUCAUUUCAGGCAUGGAUUACUCCCCUACAUAUUCUGCAGUGAAGACAGACAUAGGCAUGUGUGUGGCUGAUGAAGCAUCUCAGCCCCAGUGCCUGUUGUGACUCUUGAACCCACCCCUUGCAUUAGCCUAAGGAAAACAAAGAUGUAGAGAAAAUACAGACCACACCUCUGUGGGGGCUCCCACACCUCUGUAGGCCUCAGGACGUAACUCUCCCACCUUCCUUAGACAUGGAGGUGAAUUCUCCCCAUCACUUCCACAGUGCCUACAUAACUGAGCAGAGCCUUUUAACUUUAGCAAAGCUGGCUCCUCAAGCAGACAAGACCGAGAGCUGUGUAGGCCCUGUCAGCCAACACAAGACUUCAAAGGUCUUGGCUGAGAUAAUACCUUCCAAAGCUCAGCAAGCAGGGCCCAUCGGGAGUUGUCCAGGGUCCUGACCUGCUUAGAGGGAUAUGCCUUGACAUUGCCUGGACCUGACCUGCUUGAUGGGCUUCUACUUCCCCUGCUAGCCCCAGCAGCAAAGGAUAGCAUCAAGAGAAGCAGCCAAGGAGACUGGUGAGUGGAGACAUGUAGAAAAUGACCGUGGCUUUUUCUGGGCAUAUGCUAAUGAAGACCCAGGUCUGGUGACUUGGGAAGCUGGAGGCCCACCUCUCAUCCGUCUCACUUUUAUAACUUUGAGACUCUUCCCUUCACUUUGGUAAUAAUGUAAAGUAUCAACUCAAAAUUGCAAUGCAUGCAUUUCAUUUGAGUUUUAUUGCCUUAACAGACAGCAUUAGAUUACAAAAGAGAACAUUUUUCUUCUCAGUUUUAGCUUAUUCUUAUGAUUUACGACGAGAUACAGCAAGAGUUCAUAAACUUCCCUGACCCGCUGACAGUUUUUACAGGCUCCUUGAUUUAUUUUCCAUCUCAGAUUUAACAGCUUUCAUGUGACUGAUAUUUCUCGAGUCCCGGCGUGGCUGCCGCGCAGCCCGAGAGAGCUCCUCUAAUCUCCAUGUUACUAAUUUAAAUGAAGUCUUGGUCUGUUGUUUAAAAAAGACAUUUGUCAUCUUGCUGAGGUUUACAGAUCCUCUUGUAAUGUAAUGUCAGACACUUCUGAGAUAUGAGUUUUAUAAAGCUUCCUGAUAUCGAGUGUUGUAAGAAGACAUGCCAAGGUCAGUUGGAUUUGCCAAACCAGUAUAGGGGAAGGCGGCGAGGAGGGAGGGGGAGGUUUUUGCAGAAUUGGAAAAGAGGAGUUCUUAAGGAGCCGAGCACAUUUAGAUACAGAUUUAUAUAUGCUUCGAGUACAUUUUGCAGAUAAACUCCGUGCUGGGGGAGCGAGGGGUGUGAGAAACAUUUUUCAACCCAAGGAAAAACAGAGGCAGCCACUCAACAGCUACGAACUUCUGAUUAAACUUAAGUAGGCAUGCAGGGAAACAAAACUCUUCUCACAGUCAUGUGGGCUGUUAAUAUCGCCGGUUUCCCAGUGUGCUCUGAAGCUGUGGUGCCAGGCCGCCUUAUUCAAGAAACUUACAGCUGGCUGGCUGUUUUCUUUGUCCAUCUGCAAACAACACGAGAGUGAGCUGCGUUUUUAGAAGAAACAAAGACCAAAGCUAAUAAGCUAAAUGGGAGAGAUAAGGGAAGUAUCUCUUAUCUGAAAUUAGAAAAGUUCUCUUCCCCGUCCCUCAAAAGAAAAAGGAAAAAAACGUCUGGAGGCUGAGAAAUGCAAACAGUGGCAGGGAAAGUCCAGAGAAUAUUGCAACCUGCUGUGGGUCUGUUCCAGAAGCUUCUGCCAGUGCAGAGUGCAACAGCCAGCCUGGUGGUCGGGACAGACACCCGCCAACAGAUGACACUGGAGCUAAAAGGCCUGUCCUGGCAAUUCUUCUGCUGCCAGGUCAGGUUCAAGGUUCUUGUGCUAGUGUACAAAGUCCUAAACAACUUAGGCCCGAUUAUCUUUUUGUAUACCUUUCAGUAGCUUUUGGCUGUAGAGCAGUUUAUAAAUCUGCUAUUAAAAUAAGUAAAUUAAUAAAAAUCUGUCCAUUUCGGUUUCUCACAGUGCCUCAUGGUGUGUGUGUCCCUCCCCCCCCCCCCUGCAUCUUAAAUCCAAUUGGCACAUUUCUGCAUCAGUUUGCAUUUGUUUAGAAGACUUCCUAAAAAUUAAUUAGCAUUUCAGGGCACAUUUCUCCCCUUUAUAAUGCACUUUAGCUUAAUAUACUGUAGCGGUUUCCACACACACACACCCCAAAAAUACAUGCAUUACUGUGGCUAUGUAUGUAUACUUUUUGUUUGGGGAACUGCACUGUCAGUUUGGGAGACGUACGAAUUUUGAAGGAUAGCUGUGUUUUUGGUCGCUAAUUGUUUCAGGAGAUGCAAAUAAGGUAGGUUCACAUUAAAAUGUGAAGUGAACCGAAUUUCUCCCCAUCCCUGCAUCCUACUAACAGACGCUUCCUCUUUACACAACAGUUAUCAUCUCUGGCCUAGCUUCACCAAAAGUAUGCACUGGAUUUUUAAAAGAUUUAAAAGUUGCUAAUUUUUAAAUGUGACACUAUAUAUAUAUAUAUAUAUAUAUAUAUAUAUAUAUAUAUAUAUUCUGAUGUCCUAAAAUGUUGCUUGGAAUGUGCUCGAAACAACCCUUCAGAAAGCCUGCCUUUAAUAAUAUUUUUCAAUAAAAAAACAGAACACAGCCAUUGGUCUCUCUCUGAGAACCCAUGACAGAUGAAAGAUGAAGGGUUUCUGCUUUGUUCUCCAAGGUUUACUCAUUGAAAGGUAGGGCAUACAAGACUUCAGUUGUUGUAUAUGGAGUGUAUGGCUUUAUUUUCUAGAACAAAGGCGCUGCUCCUUCAAAGAACACAGAAGCAGCACAAGAGAAACUCACGUUAACAUUUGAUAUUUUUCAGUGGUUUCAGCGCUAAGGCUUAGUUUUUGGUCCAGCUGAAAGGAAUUUGACAUUGCUAAUUAAACAAUUGAUUGUAUAGUUCAAAAGACAAUGUUCAGGAUUACACUACAAAACAUAUUGUGUUUCCCACUUUAAUUGUACCUUUGUAGCUGAAAUACGGGUGGAAUUGAGAUUCUGGAAUACCAAGCCUGGGUUCCCUUAGGCAGAUGGCUUGGCAGUGCACCAGGAUGGACAGAUCAGACUAAGUCAGUUUUGCAGGUUCUCAAUCAUAUGUCCAUCUUGGGCUGUCAAAUUCACCUUUUCUCUGCAAACCAGAACCGUCUACACACUUGCCCCCCACAAUACAUCUACAGUAUGGCCCAAGUAAAGAGCAGCAUAGUGACUUGAACAUAGAGGAAAUAGUUUCAUGUCUUGGAGCCACUCAGAAUUCAGGGGCCCCAGUUCUCAUACAACAUUGCAUACAAAAAAAUCUGUAUAUAUGCUAAAAUGAUCACACCUUUUCAUGAGAACUUUCUUAAAUAAUAUUUUUUUAAAAAAAAACCUCAUGCAAACUGAUGCUGUAACAUGGUGUCCGGAAAUUCAGCCUGGAAAAAUGAGAAACUGGGAGAGACUGAAAGUGACAGAUUUUUCAAUCCCCUAGCUGGAGCAGAUGGGGGUCCAACACCACCUGGAGAGCCCCAGGUUCCUUAUUCCAGUUCCAGCACCUGGUAGACACCAAUAUUUGUAUUGCAGCUGCAUUUGUAGAUCACAUGUUGUGAAGGGUUGAGCUGAAAGAUCUCUCUUCCACAUAAGCAUGGUUCUUCUGCCAUGGUAGCUUGGUUAGUUUUGCUUAGCUGUGCCUCCAGGCAUAUCCAUGCAUUGCUGAAGGACUUGACUUUGGCAGCACAUUAGAAGCUUUGACCCUUUGCACUAGGUAAAGUUACAGUGGUACCUCGGUUUACGAACUUAAUCCUUUCCGGAAGUCCGUUCUUAAACCAAAGCCGAGGUGCCCUUUCCCUAAUGAGGCCUCCCACCGCCGGUGCCCUUCCACCAUUCGGAUUCCAUUCUUAGACCGAGGUAAAGUUCUCAAACCGGGACACUAUUUCCGGUUUUGCGGCGUUUGUAAACCGAAUCGUUCUUAAACUGACUGUUCUUAAACGAGGUACCGCUGUAUUUAUUUUUCAUAUUUAUAUUCCUCUUUCCCAUAGGAUUUGUGAGUGAAGAUGGAGUUUAGGUUUCUUUUACAGAGCAUUGUGCUUGCAGUUCUCUCUUAGCGUUCUAGAGCUUUACUUCUUAUUUUUUUGCCUUGGAGAUUCUGAAGUAGCGUAGUUCCACAAACAUUUACUCCACUCCUAUCUAUCUAAUUUUCUUUAAGAAGGUAAAUAAUAGGCUGGGAAGCCCUUGAGUUAAAUAUAUGAAACACGUCCAUGAAAUUUACAUGUGUUAACCGGAUACUUUGCUGUAAGCUGCACAGCUAUCUCCUGUCCUUGUUUAGUCACCAUCUAGCUCUACCUUAGUUGACUGAUAAAAAUUCUAAACCUUCAACAUUGGGUUCCAGAGCAGGUUACGUACAAACAAAACAAAACAUUACAUUACAAACAUUUGGCUAUCCAGAUCUUUUGGACAUCUAGUCCUAUCAGCCCCAGCCAGCAUGGCAAUUUCAGGGGAAAGAGGAAAUAUCAACUGUAGCCUGAGGAGCCACAAGACCAAGAGUCUGAACUUCAUGAGCCAGCACAGAAGAGACAAGGUGAGUCUUAUUUUUUUUCCUCAUGUCUCUGGCAGUAAAAGAAUUGCACCGAUGGCAUCUGAUUCCCAACAGUCACAUAAAUACAGAGUAGUCAGUUUCUUCUUUCAGAACCUGCCAUUGCAGAAGAUAGCACCACCAGGAGUGGAAACCAAUCCACAGUUACUAAGUGCAUGCAAACUUUGCAAGGCAUGCUGAAGAGUUAUAUUAAAAGCAUAACAUCAAUUGUAUGGGAUCAUUGCUGCCUCAGACCGCAGAAGUGAUUGUGGCUAGUAACUGCUCUGGUGUUUCCUUGUGUAAAAAUGAUUGGGGCUGGUGACUGCAUUCCAACAGCUGUGAUGUAUGCACUGCAUGCAUGUAAGUAAAAACUUCCGAUUUUUGCCUGUAAAAAUGUAACAUAUGGCACACAUAAGAAGAUCCCAGCUGGAUCGGGCCAAAGGCCCAUCUAAUCAAGCAUCUGUCCUCACAGUGAACCAGCAGAUGCCUAUCAGAAACAACAGCACUCUUCAAAUCCAUCUUCCCAUGCAACUGGUAUUCAGGGGCAUAAUGGCAUUGAUACUGGAGGUAGUCCACAGCCAUCGUGGACUACCUACAGCCAUUGAUAAUCUUAUCCAUGAAUUUGCCUAAUGUCCAUCCUUCCAUCUUGCAGUAGGGAGUUCCAUUGUUUAACCAUGUGCAAGGUGCCCCUUUUGGCUGUCCUGAAUCUUCCAACACUGAAUGACCUUCUAUUCUAGUAGCAGAGGUGCUGUCUUGUGCCUAAGAUUGAGGGGGCCUGGCGUGCAGUGUGCGUGUGUGUGACGUCGCAUCAUCAAGAGGAAGGAGAGCAUGGACCCCUGCACAGCACAGCUUCAUCUCUUGCACUCAGGAGGAGCCAGCCACUGAACCGGGCUGUGCCCGACUCCACGCUCAGCUUUCUUCAACAUUGAGGGGGCCCAACAUUGAGGGAGACCAGGGUCUGAACGCCUACUCAGCCAUGAAACUCAGUGGCUGCCUCUCAGUCACUGCCUCUCAGUCAGUGAGGGUUGUUGUUGGAAUUAAAUUCGGAGGAGAACCAUGUGCACCACCUUGAGUUCCCUAGACAAAAAGGGGCACAAUAAAUAAAAUAAGCAAAUGUUCUGAAAACACCACGUAUAUGCUGACUUAGGGGAGUUGCUCCCUCUCAAACAGAACAGAAAUUGGGGAUUCCUGUUCUAGAGAGAAGACUGGGAAGCCCCCUACACACGCAGAGUUCUGUGUUAACAACCCUUAAUUCUAAAAGAGCUGCAAGAGUUUUACAGCCCCUGUCAAAAAUGAGGAGUGACAGCCGGAGAAGUUAAACGUCACUUUCAGUGAUCAGAAAUGGUUGUGCGCGAGAGUGUAAAGGUUGUGUUUUCAGCAUUUUACUUUCAUUUCUUCCUCCCCUGUGCUUGGUUUAUACAAUGGCAUGAUUAAUGUCUCGUUUGUGAGACGCUUAUUCAAUAGCAGGGUUUUUUAACGUUUCACGGGCCUGACUGAGAAAAGACAUAAUAAGGGGGUUUAAGGCCUCCCUUGUAAUCAGAGCUUGUCAAGAGAGGAUAAACAUGCAUUGGAGCAAGCUAGUUACCAAAUAGUUGUAUAUUUUUUAUAUAUAUUUAACUUGAGGGCAAAUUAUGAGGGAACAUAUUCUGCUUUGCGGCAGACAGCAGAGGAAACAAGCCUGUGACAUGUUAGGAACAAACCUCACAUUGCACGAGAGAUCUGUGAUUUAUCUCACAGUGUUUCUUGCUUUUACUUCAACAGUGACUGAAAGUGCUCAAAAUGUUAUCAGUGCCAGGGAUCGAGGAGGUUUAGCCCUUCACCCCCACAAUGCCUCCUACCUCCUUUGGGCUGCUGUUGGGUGGAAUGGGGGAAAUGCAGGUAAACUAUUAGAACAGGACUGGGCCAGUGGGCCAGAUGCUUAUCUCUCUUACCUCUCAUACGCGUCACAGACAAAAUGAUGACAUCAGGUGACAGUAGACCCCAAGCAGGGUCCUAGAGGGAGGGGGGAAGUGCAAAUGGGACCCCAAGAAGUGUCUGAGGCUGGGAAGGAAGCCAGUGGACUGGGGAAUGGACAGAUAGAUCGGAAGGGGGGUGGGUCAAGUGGGCUGGAGGAGGAAGCCUCAGAUUCUUUGGGGGAAGUCAUGUAUGGGGUGGAUGUGACCCCAGUCCUUUGGCCUCACUGCCCUGAUACAAAUCCUCUGGCUGCUGAGUGGCAUGAUCCCUCAGCCCUGGCAGAUGCUGGAUGGUCAAGCUCCAUGCAAGCACUCACUUCUAUGAUCUGCAAACUUUCUUCAUUAUAACUAGAUCAUUCUUCACUCCUAAGUAUAGAGAUGGCCAUGGUCGGUGAAAACACAAAAUCAGAUGCAAAUUGUUACAGGGAGUAAAAGGAGUUCUAAAAAUGCCAGAAUAUUGCCUUGGUGGGUAGACUACAUUAAAAAGCUGAAGACUCCCUGAAGUAAAAUAUGGUUCCCACGAGUUGUUUGGAAGUCUUAUUGAUUUGUUGUUUUCCUUAUGUUUUUAUCCAGCCUUUUUUUCCAUCCUGGAACCCAACAGGGCCAGUGCAAGAGGCUGAAUUGACUGAAGAAGGGGACCCACUGCCACCACCUCAUUCUUCUUCCUCCUGCCUGUCCUUCAUGUCUCCUCAGGUUCUUUUUCUCUUUCUUUUUGCCACCACAGCGGUGGCAGCUCUCCUUCUCCACCCUGCUGUGCUAUGAGAAAUUGGCCACUGAGGCAAAGCAAAGUUCUGACCACCCUACCCAGAAUGCAUUGCUCUGAGAAUGGACCCCUCCUCUCAAGCCGAAGCACUGUGUCUGCGCAUGCGUGCAGCGCAAUUUAGCACUUCUGCGCAUGCGCGAGUGGCAAGACCCGGAAGUAACCCAUUCCAGUACUUCCGGGCUGCCGCGGGACGCGACGCGAAAACACGUAACCGGAAGCAGAUGCAGCAUGAGGUAUGACUGUACUGUGCUGUGUUCCUGCUUGUGGAUUUCCCACAGGCAUCUGGUUGGCCACUGUGAGAACCAGAUCCUGGACUAGAUGGGUCAUUGGCCAAAUCCAGCAGGACUUUUACGGUCUCAUGAGCCUCUUGCAGAAGACUUGCAAAGGCAAUGGCAGCCCAUAUGAGGCUCCAGUGGGCCCAGGUCAGCAGCAAGGCAAGCAAGAGGGGGGCAGCACCAGUUUGGUGCCUGGUCUAGCCCUGAAGGCAGCGUAGGUCCCUAGGCAGUCCCCCAUCCAGGCGCUGACCAGCCCCAGACCUGCUUAGCUUCAGAAAGGUGCCGGCCUCACAUGCCUUCAGACCAGACCCGGGGACUUCCACUUGUUCAGGAAAGAAGAACCUGCACUCUCUUCUCUGUUUUCGACUUUACUUUGACAGCAGCUUUAAAACAAUUAGCAAGCAGGUGCUGCCUGGUUAACAGCAUGUGUGCACGUGUGUGCUAGUUCUGCAUCUUUGUCUGCCGUUGGUGCCGUUUCAUUAACUGAAUCUUUUUAAUUAGCAAAACAUCUGCCAACUCCUGCAGUCUGUCAGGGAGCCCCAUGGAUGUUCUCUUUGUUGUACCUUUUUACAACAUAUGCCAACAGGUGGAACGAAAAGCUUGUUGUUUGUAUCUUUGGGGUUUAUGAGUAGGUGAGAGCAGGCUCAAUUGUAUAUUUACUUAUACAUCUCUCUGUUCUGCUCCCCAUAUAUUGAUAUCUGUAAAACCUUAUCUCUCCUCGUUUUACAAUAGUUAUCCCCACCUCUGUCCUAAACACAUUAUGCAGAACAAAGUGGAGACAACAUCUAUUGUUGCCGUUUUGGUUUCCAGAAUAGGUAUUAUCUUCACACUGAAUUGGCUUCCUUUGCUGCCCGUGAUGCCAUCAUGCAGGGAACUCUGAUUGGCCAUCACUGAUUUUAGGAAGCAGCUAACGUGGAUGGCUCUGCUCGACUCACCUUUAUUUCCAAUCACUUUUUCCACUCCUUGUGAGCAUUCAGAGCUUUUAAAUAAUGAUAUGGCAUUGUGAAAAGCUGGUGGCUAUUGAUAAUUGUUCUACAGUCAUGAUACUGUACAUUUUAUGUGUACUGUAAGCCGGUCAGAGUGGCUGGGGAAACCCAGCCAGAUGGGCAGGAUAUUAUUAUUAUUAUUAUUGUUAUUAUUGUUAUUAUUAUUAUUAUUAUACCUGGAACUAGCAUUUGCAAACAUGUCUUCAUUCCCAGCCAUUUAGCAAUCCAGAUAUUUGUCUUUGCCUCCAGUGCCUAGUCUACUGCAUAACUGCCAGGUGCAGACCCAACAUUUCAUUUGCCUGUAUAUAUUUAUAAGGUUUACUGGCAAAGAUAAAAGCAAGCUGAGGGGAAGGAUGAGGUUCUGCACAUGUCUUGCAUUGGAAGAGGGAGGGAUCGGCGAAGAAGCCAUCUUUUGACAUUGCCUGACCCUUGCAGCCUACAAUAGUCCAUUCAGUUAAGAAUCAUUUUGCCAUUGUGGACGAAACUUCUUUUGUGAUCACCAUGCUUAAGAAAUAAUUGGAGCAUGAAAGACAGCUAGAUAGAAAAAAACGGUGCCUACAAUAUCCCUUUGGGAGAAUAAAGGUUUCCUGAAGCUGUUCAAACAGGUAAGAACAAGGACAAACAGGAACUCUUCUGUGAGAAGACGUCCAGCUCUCCCACCUGUUCCAUUGCUGCCCAAGUAGCCUGAAGGGGUGUUCCUCUGCUUGGCAUAAGUGGUGCCUGUCUCCCAUUUUAAAGAAGAUGAGUCAUUUCUGCAGACAGUGGCUAAAGCACAACAAGGGAAUCUGGCUUUAUAAACAUGGUUGGCCAGGGACUGAACUUGGGUCGUUUUGCAGACAAAACAGAUACAGUGGUACCUCAGGUUACAGACGCUUCAGGUUACAGACUCCCCUAACCCAGAAAUAGUACCUGUUAAGAAUAGUUUCAGGUUAAGAAUGGACCUCCAGAACGAAUUAAGUUCUUAACCCAAGGUACCACUGUACUCUAUCACUGAGUUACCUGAGGCCCUUCCCCUCAGCCUCCAAACCCUUGAGGGAAAGUGGCUGGUGCACAAAGAAAGCAGAAGGUGGGGGAAGCAUCAUUUCCUCCCCCUUGCUGUUGUUCCACUACAAAACCCUCCCCUCACCGUGCUGGGCAUAGAGGCAGGAAAACGCAAAACAUGGGCUGGGACUGCCAUGUUUCCUGCUGUUCUCCAUGCAGAAGGAGAGUAUGAAUGGAGAAUGUGAUGGGGGCGCACAAUUCAAACUGAACCUGUUUACAGCAGGGGCACUAUGAUCCCUGUAUAUUUUGUCUGGAAACUGGGACUUCUCGUGCUAUGUGUUUAGUAAUAGUUGUAUUCCUCCAGAGAUCCUCAACCUGCUUCUACUGCAGGGCUUCCUCCCUCAGAAAUACUGUUUUUACGAGAAGCCCUCUGGAUUUCUGGGCAUUGGGGUUUGAUUGGUGCCUCUCCCCCAUAUGAAGCAACCAGGAUGCAGCAAUCAUCUGAGGCCCUUCUUUGUGUGCCUCCUCCAAUCAUGGAGGGUGUGAACACAAGAAAGGGCCUCUUCUGCUGUGGGUCCCUGUUUGUGGAAUGCUGUGCCCUGGGAGACUCACCUGGCGUUUUUGUUACAUAUCUUUAGGCUCCAGGCGAAAACACUCCUUUUAAACUGUGGCGGAGGGGAGCUAUUGUUUUGUUUGUUACUAUGGUAUGUAUUUCUGUGUUUUUAUAUUGUAAACUGCCCUGUGAUCCUUGGGUGAAGGGCAGUACAGUGGUACCUCUGGUUAAGUACUUAAUUCGUUCCGGAGGUCCGUUCUUAACCUGAAACUGUUCUUAACCUGAAGCACCACUUUAGCUAAUGGGGCCUCCAGCUGCUGCCACACCGCCGGAGCACGAUUUCUGUUCUCAACCUGAAGCAAAGUUCUUAACCUGAGGUAAUAUUUCUGGGUUAGCGGAGUCUGUAACCUGAAGCGUAUGUAACCUGAAGCAUAUGUAACCCGAGGUACCACUGUAUAGGCAUCCCAUAGGCAUCUUGUUUGCCACUCUGAAAACAGGAUGCUGGAUUAGAUGGUCCAAUAAACAGAUCUAGGAGACUCUUUUUAUUGUCAUGAGCUACACAAAACAGUUGAGAUCAGUCUUGGAUGGGCAGGCACUGACAGAAGAGGAAGAGCAGGAGCAGGAGGAAAUGGAGAGGGUGCCGAACUGUGGAAACCUGGUUUGGAAGAGGGGGAAUUCCCCCUUUCCACUUCAACUUCAGCCACUUUGGAAGGAGGGAAGAGAUGCUGGCCCUCUGGUCCAACCUUCCUACAGAGCAGAAAGGUAUUUAAUUAGUUGAGAGCAGGAGGCUGAUCAGGAGGUGGCAUCUUUGUCACCUAGAGAGUGGACCUACCCAGCCACAAAGCACACUCUUGCAGUCUCAACAUUCCUACAAGGCGAGCAAGUCUGGCAAGUGACUCUGCUUCAUGUUUAAAAGCUUGGCAGAAGGAGUGGAGGAACUUAUUGGGACAUCUUUGUUGCUUCCAUCCAGUUCAUUCACUUCUUGCCAUGGUCCUGAACUCCUAAAUCAUGGGCCGGCAAACUAAGGCAAACUAAAAAUGGGUCGGCCCUGUUGGAUCCAGCCCAAUUGCCUUCUGGAUCCGGCCCACAGACGGUCCAAGAAUCGCCACGUGGAUUGGCAUAGGGAUUCUGAUCAUUUGGGCUGGGCCAUCCCUCCCUCCUCCUGGCUUCUCCCUGCCCUACCCAGAGGAAGAAGGGAGCUGGGCUUUGUUGAGCUGUGGUUGGCUGAGCGCCAUUUUAAGCAGCCCCUCUCCAGAGCCAGCCCUUUCUUGCCACUCAUUGUCCUGCCGCCGCCAGCCCCUGCCGCUCUCAAGACACAGGUAAGCAGCCACUGGGGCUCGUCCGGUGCUAUGGAGAAGGGAGGGGAGAGCUGGGGGGUGAUUUUUUUUCCCAAAAUAUAGUCCAGCCCCCCACAAGGUCUGAGGGACAGUGGACCGGCCCCCUACGGAAAAGGUUUGCUGACCCCUGUCCUAAAUUGUGAUACCUGAACACCGUGUCUGCUGUGGAACCUGUACCAUUACUUGCUCAAAUAAUGAUCUCUUUCCUGCAGUAAGAACCUCUGUCUGCAUGUUUGGGCUGGGAGCCAGACUGCUCAUUGGCCAUGCUGUCUGGGGCUGAUGGGAGUUUGAGUCCAACAAGAUCUGGAGGGCCGCAGAUUGCUCACCUCUGUGGUGAAAUAUUCAGAGACAGGGUACCAAAUUAGAUGCAGUGUUGGUUUAACGUGUUCAGGCUUUCCACUCUCUUCAAUGCAAAAGCUUACAGCCAAUGAAACCACUCUGCAAUUAUCAUCCUUUCCCCUCCAUCCCUGCGUCCUGAUGCUGUUUCUGCUUAGAAAUUGCUCCAGUCAAACUGUGACAAUCUCUCCUCACACAAUACAAAAGACAUCCCUUAGCAUUUUCUGACAACAGAAGGACAAUGGAUAUCACAAAGAGAAGGCCUUGCCACCGCCACCUUUUCGAAAGUGCUCACAACCACAUCGAACAUCAGAAGUGUUUGAACUUAAGCAAUUAGAACAAGUUGUCAGGGACACAAGAAGCUCUUCAGAGGAACACAAAAGCAGCAUGGAUGUUGCCCAACAGUGUCUCAAACCUUCCACCUAGGUAUGGUCACAGCUGAGUUGGUAGGGUCGGAAUUUUUAAAAAAAUAAUAAUAACCCUUCAUGCUAGCCAUUAUAUAGUCACAAAGGAUUUUUUCUCUCCUGUAUUACAUCUUCUUCCCUGUGGCUUUUCCUUCUGUCUCCAAGUUCUUUUUAAAAAUGCAUAUUCUUAUAUCUGAGCUCCCCAGAUACACACACAUAAAUACAUUUUCCAGUUAUAUUAUCCACCUUCUUUCUUUUAUUUCCCAUCUUUUAUCCUUUCACCUCUACUUUUCCUUCCAUUCAUUAAUUAUUUUUGCAGGGAAGGGGGCUCCCUUCUGUGUUCCCUUUCUGCGUUUAAAUCUGUUCAUUGCUCUCCUUUCUUUUGCCCCAUUGCUCCCAUAUCUCAGGUGAGUGUCUUUGCAUUCACAUCAUUGUGUUCACUCCACCUGCCACCUCGGAGUUUUGACUUGACUCUUUGAUCCUUUACUGAAGUUGUUAAUGGGGUAGAUUGCAUGCCAAAGUUGACACGCAGCUCAAGACGCUCCAUUGAACUGGGAGGAGAAAAGGCAGCUUCUGAUCUCGCAGAGCGUGAUGUGACCCCACAGGCUCCUCUCACACAAGACGGCAUUCUUGGGAAUGCGUCUCUCAAAAGAAGGGUGUGCAAUAUGGCACAAGAGUGCAUCAGAAAUACCUCUCAUAUUCAGUAACCAAUAUGUAGCAAGAAACUUGGAGCGGCACUGCCAAGAGAGUGAGCCCAAAUGCCCCCUGAAUUUCACAACCCUCAUUGUAGACUGCAAACAGAGACACCCUCUUGAUUUUCAGGGAACUCUUCAACCAGGAGUGAAACCUUUGCCCUACUCAUAGCUGGCAACUAUCACACUUCCUUCAUUUGCCAGACAUUUUUCAUUUGUUAAAACAGGGGUGGGAAACCUUUUGGUUUGGGCUAAUAUUGGGCAGGUUCCACAUCAGCAAACAGGUUACUUGGGUGCUGGGCAUGGUUUGUUCUUGCGCUUACUUCAGACCUGGGCUUUUUUUCAGCCAGGAUCUGUCCUGAUCUAGCAGGGCUAUUCUUAUCUUCUUCUAAUAGAUAAUGGUUAAAUAUUUGGUUCAAGGUUCACAACAAAGUGGUGUCCAAAACUGAAAGACCCUUGGUUUCCAUUUUUUCACCCUAGCCACUGCUAAAAAUGGUGUGGCAAAGUAUUGGAAAGUGUAAACCUUACACUGCAAAGGAUUUCUGUUAGUUUGCAUAAAUCCUACUGGCUGGGUGUAGUGGGAAAUUAACUCAGAGAGAGGGGUUUUUUGUUUGUUUUAAUUAUUUGAGACUGUUGUGUUUGUAAAUGUGAUUGACACUAAACCUCUGUUUUGGAUGGUUUUGAAUAAAUGGAUGAACAUGAAACUUAGUCACUGUAAGCAUUCAGAGUAGGGGCAUUGUGAAUAUUACAAAAGUUUUGCUACUGCUGGGGUCCUUUGCUGUUGCUAACUCAAUAAGUUGUACAUUUUCAGGAUAGGCAACUGGCGGGUGGGAGAGAGAGCGUCAUACAGUCAUACUUUGGAAGUUGAACACAAUCCAUUCCUGAAGUCCAUUCAUAGAAUCAUAGAGCUGGAAGAGACCACAAGGGCCAUCGAGUCCAACCCCCUGCCAAGCAGGAAACACCAUCAGAGCACUCCUGACAUAUGGUUGUCAAGCCUCUGCUUAAAGACCUCCAAAGAAGGAGACUCCACCACACUCCUUGGCAGCAAAUUCCACUGUCGAACAGCUAUUACUGUCAGGAAGUUCUUCCUAAUGUUUAGGUGGAAUCUUCUUUCUUGUAGUUUGGAUCCAUUGCUCCGUGUCCGCUUCUCUGGAGCAGCAGAAAACAACCUUUCUCCCUCCUCUAUGUGACAUCCUUUUAUAUAUUUGAACAUGGCUAUCAUAUCACCCCUUAACCUCCUCUUCUCCAGGCUAAACAUGCCCAGCUCCCUUAGCCGUUCCUCAUAAGGCAUCGUUUCCAGGCCUUUGACCAUUGUGGUUGCCCUCCUCUGGACACAUUCCAGUUUGUCAGUGUCCUUCUCGACUUCCAAAACAUUCGGAAACCAAAGCGCAGCUUCUGAUUGGCUGCAGGAAGCUCCUGGAGCCAAUGGGAAGCCGCAGAAGCCCUGUCAGACAUUCAGGUUCCAAAGAAUGUUUGUAAACCAGAACACUCACUUCCAGGUUUGAGGUGUUCAGGAGCCAAAACAUCCAAGUACCAAGGCAUUCAGGAUCCAAGGUAUGACAGAACUGGGGUACAUUUCUUAAGGACUGUGUCCCCUUUCUUGGUUUCCUACUACUGCCAGUCAACAGGCACAAUAAUAAAAUUCAGUUAUUCAAAAGCAUGAGCUGGAUAGGCUUUGAUGGUCACAUGACAAGACCCUCACCCCCACAGGGGCUCCACUCCCAAUUGCUGGAGCUUGCUGUCCCUGUGGCUUCUCCUUCUUGCUCUUGCUACAAGCAUGAGAAGGGGCAAGGGGCAAGAGACAGAUCAUCCCCUUUCAUUUGUCUCAUGGCCUUCCUCUGGGGACAUUGUACAACGUGGGCACAGAGGGAGGGCAAGUGAAUAAGGAGUGGGAAUAGGAGAAGGUGAACCCACCCAGGGAGGGCUCCCCCUGUGGACAUUGUCCCCCAAAGCAUUCCCAAAUCACUGCCUGUUGAUUUCCCCAUGCCCAAGGUUCUGAGCCACUGGAGAUGGCUGCUUGUCACCUCAACUCCAUAUAGCCUACCAGAAAUUUUAAGCUGAGCAGGGCUCAAUGUGUAGUAAAAAUUGAUGCAGAAGGAAAGAGUAAGUCUAUUGAAGAAACCUCUCUGUCCAGUGGUCUGAGGGCUGUUAACCAAGAAGUACACUGCAAUGACUCCAUCAAAAUAUGCUGCUAUUUAUUUGUCUUUUCCAUUUUGGAAGUUGCAGCGUGAUUGCCUCUUUCCUUGGGUCUCCCAGUUCAAGUUUGUUUGUUUGUUUUAUCAGGGAGAACAUCCAUGCUGGAGAGAAACAGAUUGCCAAUGUUCACUUAUUUGUCCCAUGUCUGGGAGAGGAAUCAGUCCAAUGAAUACCUUCAGUUGUUGUUGAUUUCAGUCUGCUAACAAUAUAUAAUUGAUUGUGUUGUCCCCGCCGUUGCAUUUUAUUUCCUUUGCAUGGAAAUGAAUGGGGUGGGAUAUUGUGAUGACCAAAUGUAAUAACAUAAUUACAUAAAUAACAUAAGUGACAUAAUUUGGUGGAAGAUGAACUGCAGCAAAAUGGACACGGUGCUUCUCAAAUACAGGGCAGAAUGGAAAAUGAUCCUGUCUUACUUCCCUACCCUCCAGUCCAGAUGUUUUUGGACUACAGAUGAGGCUGAUGGGAGCUGAAGCCCAACACCACUUGUGGAGCCACGAGUUCCCCACCUCUCUUUUAAGCAACUGUAAACUAAGACAACUAAGGAUUAUGGUGCUGGAGGAGACUCUUGAUAGUCCCAUGGACUGCAAGAAGAUCAAACCGAUCCAUUCUUAAGGAAAUCAGCCCUGAGUGCUCACUGGAAGGACAGAUCCUGAAGCUGAGGCUCCAAUACUUUGGCCACCUCAUGAGAAGAGAAGACUCCCUGGAAAAGACCCUGAGAAGGGGUCUAGGAGAAGGGGACGACAGAGGACAAGAUGGUUGGACAGUGUUCUCGAAGCUACCAGCAUGAGUUUGACCAAACUGCGGGAGGCAGUGGAAGACAGGAGUGCCUGGUGUUCUCUGGUCCAUGGGAUCAUGAAGAGUCGGACACGACUAAACGACUAAACAACAACAACAAACUAAGACAACAGCAUGUAAAAUGGCACAUCCUUGUAGUCAAACGUGCCAUCUAGUUUUCGUUAACUCUGGUUCAAACAUUUCCCAAGCAUUUUAAAGGUGGGAGCAGAUGGAAGCCGAGUGAGGAGGAUUCAGAUCCCUUUUCUGAUCUUCUGGUUUUCUGAAGGGCUUAUUUGUAAGAUACGAAUGGGACAGCUGGGCAUCCAUCAUUGCAAUGUGUGUGAAGAUUUAGUGAGAUUGAUGCAGAAAGAAAGGACAAGUGCAUUAACAAACCUAUCCGUCCAAAAGUCAGGGGUACUGUUAACCAAGAAGUACAUUACAGUGAUUCCAUCAAAAUGUUAUGUUAUUUAUUUAACUUUUCCAUUUCCAUUUUUAUUUGGGUAAGAUAAUUGCUUGCGAUAAGCUGCCUGUGCAGGAAGCUGGAAGCAUGGAAGAAGCACAGCUGUUAGGCUGGGAUAUGUACUUUCAGCCGUAGCAUUAGAACUGUGUGACGGCCCAGGCUAUAUUUGCAUAUUGAAAUGAUCUCAAUUAAAGUCUUUUAUCAGACAACUUCACAGAAAGAAUCUCUAGAAACACAGGAUUCCACCCAGCCUCCCCCCCUCCCAUUAUGUAAAAUGUAGGCUAUUAGGGUCCCGAUAUGUUUAUCUGCAGUUGUAUAAAUGGUCAUUUUAUAAUUAAUUUCAUAACUAAUAGGUUAUUAUUAUCUAUCUAUUUAUACCCCACAUUUUUCUCUGAUGGGACUCAGGCAGCUUACAAAUACAAAAAUAGGGGGAGGGCUCCAUUCUAAAACAAUUAAACAUUAAUAGAAUUAAAACCAUAUACAUACAUAUAUAUAAUUUAUUUAGAACAUAAAAAUAAUUACAAUAAAAACAGCACGGCAACAGCCCUGUCAUUAAAAGCGGUUAGUUCCCCAAAGCUUGUUGGAAUGAGAAGGUCUUCACCUGACAAUGAAAGGACAACAGGGAGGGAGCCAGUCUAGCUUCUCAGGGAGGGAGUCUGGAAGCUGCCACUGAGAAGGUCCUGUCCUGCAUCCCCACUAAGUAUGCCUGUUAGGGUGGUGGAACCAAGAGAAGGGCCUCCCCUGAAGAUCUAAAAACCCAUUCACAGGAGGGAAAAUGGUCUUUCAGGUAGCUUGGACCUAAGCCGUGUAGGGCUUUAUAGACAGUGGAGCUGUUCUAAUAAGGGAGUUAUAUAGCCAGCUCCCUAUAACCAGCCCCAGUCAACAAUCUGACCACAGGUCUUUGAGCCAGUUGAAGUUUCUGAGCACUUUUCAAGGCAGCCCCAUGCAGAACGCAUUUCAGUAAUUCAAAUGGGUCCUAACUGUGCAAAUGCACUCCUGGCCACCACAGAAACCUGAGAGAGACCUGGACAAGAGCACUUGUUUGUUUGUUUGUUUGUUUGUUUGUUUGUUUGUUUGUUUGUUGCACUUAUAUCUCAUCCUUUUCUCCAGGAAACCCAAGGUCUGAGUGUUUGUUCUCAUUUCAUGUCCGCAACAACCCUGUGAGGUAGGUCAGGCCGAGAGGCAGUGACUGGCUCAAAGUCACCUUGGUGAGCUUCAUGGCUGGGUGGGGAUUUGAAUAAAGUGGGGAAGUGGAUGAGACAGAGAGUGGGGAGGUAUCUGUAGGCCCCCUGGAGCUCUUUGGGAGAAAGCUGGGCUGUAAAUGUAAUAAUAAAUAAUGAAAAGGUACAUGCAAGGAUGCAACAAAAAUGACUUUAUGUACCAAAAUGAAAAAAGGGAAAGGGCUUUAAUAUUUUUUAAAAUGGAAUAAUAAAAUGGGACAGGGCAAAACAGCAAUGUUACCUAUAUCCAGUCCAGAUUUAGAUAAACUGAUAGAAUAUUUACUUACCCUUUUGAGUUGCAUUUCAUUACACCGAAACUGAAGUGCACUCAUUACAGUUUUUACAUGCAGACUUUUAUGGUUGUAAAGACUUCUGACUGCUGCCUUAAGGACUCUCCUCCUUUUUCCACACCAUAUAUAUAUAUAUAUAUAUAUAUAUAUAUAUAUAUAUAUGGUGGGUGUGCAAUAGCCUCAGUGGCAUAUUCUGAGCCACCGAAGGAUCCUGCAAGGAGCUUUUUCUUGCUGAACAGGGUUUUGUUUUGUGUGUUUCCCUCCUCCGCACCACAACUCGAAACCAAGAGGUUGUCCCAGCUGACAUUGAAGAGGGAGAGGCGAUACAAUGUCGGAGGUGGGAAACCAAGCAGAAUAUAUUUCCGCGAGGCUGUCAGGUCAUGCAGCAAAGGGGUGUGUCCCAGAGUCAGUAAUAGAUGUAAACCACGAACAUCAGUUCAAGAGGGAGCUGGGGCAGCAGAGAGAGAUGGAGUGAGCCGCAGGAAAGAUAAUUGGGCUUAAGACAGUGAGCUGCCAUAGAAAGUGAUUUGUAUCUCCAGCAUCGAGAGAUGCAGGCCUUUGAUGGACUGGGUGGUUUUCUCCUGGCCAUUUGUAUGUCUCCAGAAAGCAUUCCAUGUUAUCACAGUAGUAGUGGUCAUAAAAAAAUUGAGUUAAUAAUAUUACUUGUCCUUUAACCCAUCCAUUUAGGUUAGGUUGGGAAUUGCCUCUGAAUCUCUCCUCAUGAACCUUCCUUCCUAUUUUAUUUCUUUCAUUUGUUUGGUUGUAUUUGCAGACCACAAUUCCAUUUUUAAAAAAAUCAUAGUGGUUUAGGAGACGGGCUGUAACUCAGUAGUAGAGCAUCUACUUUUAUUGCAGAAAGUCUCAUGUUCAUUUCCAGCAUCUCCAGGUAAGGCUGGGAGAGACUCUCUUUUGGACACUUUGGAGAGCCUCUGCCAGUCAGUGUAGACAAUACUAAGGUAGGUGGACUCAAUAUAAAGCAACUUCCUAUGCCCCGAUGUUUAAGACCACUAAAGAGAAGAACCUAGACAGCAUCUUAAAAAGCAGAGACAUCACCUUGCCAACAAAGGUCCGUAUAGUUAAAGCAAUGGUUUUCCCAGUAGUGAUGUAUGGAAGUGAGAGCUGGGCCAUAAAGAAGGUCAGAUGAGCCUCGCCAGCUUGGGGAACAACCAGUGGUGCUCCUGCAGAUUAUCUCAGUGAGUAAGCUAGAGUGUAAGGGUACAGGCAGUCUCCUAUCUGCAACUGUACCUUAGCAUGUGUGAGUUCCUCUAAGAUGUCAUUGACAGAAUGGCAUGUGGCCCAAAGAAAAUGAAGUCCAUGAAGCAAAAAACGGUCCCCCACGAUUCCUGUAAAGAUAUGUGUCCCAGAAGUUUUGCUUUGAACUGCAAGAGUGCUAAGCAUGUUUGCUCAAUACCAUGAGCUUUCCAAUCAACCAAAAGCAUCUUCUCAACAAGACUUAUCCAUGCACUAUUCAAGACAUUGAAGGUGCAUGUAGAUACCCCAGGGAGAAGUCUUCCCCCACCUGUAUGUUUCGCACAAUAGAUGCUUCUUCCUCAAGAGCAGGGGCCAGCAAACCUUUUCAGCAGGGGGCCAGUCCACUGUCCCUCAGACCUUGUGGUGGGCUGGACUAUAUUUGGAGGGGAUGAAUGAAUUCCUAUGCCCCACAAAUAACCCAGAGAUGCAUUUUAAACAGAAGGACCCAUUCUACUCAUGUAAAAACACGCUGAUCCCCUGACCAUCUGCGGGCCGGAUUUAAAAGGCAGUUGGGCCGGAUCUGGCCCCCGGGCCUUGGUUUGCCUACCCAUGCUCAAGAGGCUUACACUUUUCGCUAGCUAGCACACAAGAUCUAAACAAUGAGCUAUAAAUAAGUUGAAUGAUCUUCAUUCGAACAAUGCAUGCUUUAUAUCAGAAGGACCAUCUGUUCCCUAUCAGUGAUGAGUUGAAGGCAACUGUCAAGGUGGAGCCAGGAGCUGGGAAUCACACCAGGGAUCAGAUUGAGGAGCAGCCACACCAGAAACCAGAACCAAGGAUCAAGGCAAAACCCAAGAUGGAUGCUGACUCUUGAUGGGCAACUCCAUCAAGUCCAUUUUUAUGGAUCUUUAGGCUGAGACCUGACAACCCUUGAAAUGGAAGGCUUCUUAAAAACGGAGUACUGCCUUCCGACAGUCCUUCAAAUAGAGGACUGCCCUCUAUAGGGAAGGACACAUGGCCACCCUUGAGGUGGGAAGAGACCAUGUGAGCAGAAGGCCUUUUCUUCAAACAGCACCAAACUGUGGUUUGCUCUGAUGUCUAUAUGUUUCUUAUUGCUGGCAUGGGUGGUGCUAGAGUGGUACAGAGGGGCAAGCAUUCCCCCCCCCAAAAAAACCCCAUGUUUGCCCCAUCAUUGCUUGCCUCCUACCUUUAGCAGAUACUGUUAUUUUUCUUUCAGAUAUCUUAACAUGUGGGGCACAACCCACCCGUCCAGAAAUACAUUGCCCCUUCUGUGCCCUCCCGCCUCCCGGGAAAAAUUAUCUGGCACCACCACUGACAACUGAAUGUAUUUUAAUGUGUGAAAAUGCAGAAUGAGAGCUGGAACUGUAAUCCCCCUUUGAGAGAGAGAGAGAACUGUUGCUUCUUCACAGGAAGAACUUCCUAACUUCAUUAGAGGAAGGUUAUUUCUGUAUCUAUUUCCUGGAGGAAAUAAGGCAUCCAUUGUUAUAGGAAACCUUCUUUCUCAAGAGACAUGAGUAACUCCUUAUUUGAAAAACAUGGGGAUGACAACAGGUGUUGUCCUGGUAAAUGACUUCCUGUAUACAGGACUUCCUUUUUUAUAUACCCAAAGUGAUAAUUGUGUAACAUUCUUUAAUCAUUUUUUAUGGAUAUGCCCUUUGUACUGUGAUUUGGGGCAGGGGGUGGCAGGAAGGGAAAGGGGAAAGAAUAGAAAGGCCUGAAGUCUCAGAUAAAAAUAUAGGAACUUGUUGAAUGAUUCGAGCAAAAGAAAAAGAAGAAAAAGAUGGCUGCCUCUUUAAUUACCCUUUCUUUGCAUUAGGUUUAUGGAUUUGCUACCAGGAAAAACAAAAUAAGUACAAACAUUCUCAGAAUUACAGUUCCUGCUGAAACCACACAUCAGCCAAGGUGGUACAUUGGAUACCUUUUAUUAAAAUGACAAAAAUGAAACGAUUCACUUAAACUAGAUUAGUAUUAAUGAUACAGUCUCUGUGCUCUGGUCCAUGGGGUCACGAAGAGUCGGACACGACUAAACAACAACAUUGAAGGAGAGUCCCUCAUCUUCCAAGCUAGUCAGUUCCGCUGUCAAGCAAUUUGCACCAUCAAGAAGUUCCUCCUAAUGUUUAGCCAACAAUCACCUUUCUUAUCAUAUAACCUGUUGGUCCAACUCCUACCCUCCAGAGCAACGAAAACCAAAUCUAUGUGAUGGCUCUUCAGAUAUUUGAAGAUGGUGAUCUUAUCAUCUAUAAUGGUCUCUUCUCCAGGCUAGAGACAGCCAGUUCCUUCAGUCCGCUAUCCUCAUAGGACUUGACCCCCAGGCUGCUCAACACCUGCACUGCCUUCCUCAGGACACAUUCCAGUUUGUUGAUAUCCAUAAAUGGGCAGAGUACUUUCUGACUGUGUGAACAAACCCAGUGAGUUCUGUGGCUGCAUUGCCAUGGCUCUCAUGUCCCAAUCACAAUGUCAUGUAAAGGCAAUGUCAGGGAAAUUGGUACCCUAAAAUUUUUCGUGGUGCUGCUUCUCUCCCUUCAAAUCCCUUCCCACUUUUUUCAAAAAACCUGUGACGCAACUGCUUAGUAAAACUUAGCCAUUGUACGUGUCACUGAAAUGAACACAUAUUAUCCCUUCAUUUCUUUCUUCCCUCUCUACCUCUGCUGACUCCCCUAGGUCAAACUCAAGAUUGCAGUUUCCCUGGUUCAGGAACCUAUCUUCAUGUCAGAGCCCUCAUCCUGAGCACCAGCUCAGCUAUGGAGUGAUUGGCAAGAUGAUGAUGAUGAUGAUGAUUUAUUGAAUUUAUAGUUCACAGAAUAAAAUCAAGACAUAAAUCCACAAAAUACCUAGUAAAAAUAAAAACAUCAACCCAAUAACCCCCUCCACACAGACAAACAAAAACACAUUUUAAAAGGGCAUAGGAUAUAAAUUGCGUCAACCAAAGGCCUGGUUAAAAAGGAGCGGUUUGGCCUGGCGCCUAAAGGUAUGUAAUGAAGGCGCCAGGCGAACUUCCCUGGGGAGAGCAUUCCUCAGACAAAGCCACUGCAGAGAAGGCCCGUUCUCAUGUUGCCACCCUCCAAACCUCUCGAGGAGGGGGCACACGAAGGAGGGCCUCAGAAGGUGAUUUCCGGGUCCAGGUAGGCUCAUAUGGAAAGAUGCUGGAAUAUGAUGAAUCCCGACUUAGCCUGAACCAAAGACUUACUCAUAUAUGAUCUGCAUCCUGAAAGAACGACUAGAAACCCUGUGCUUCCCACACAGGCCCAUCAAUGCAGGCCAUCAGCCUGGAGAAAGCAUGCUGGGCUGCCCUUUUAAGAUGAUCCUCAAGGAAAGGAAAAGGGAGGAGACUAGGAGAUACCCUCCAAGUGUCCCAAUUUUCCAGGAACAGUCAGGGAAUGGCAAAAGCUAUCCCAGCUUCUGAUUUGAUCCCGGAAUGUCCUUAUUUCCCCUUGCAGUGCUGCCACCACCAAGUUCAGCGAGGAGGAUGAGCCAGUGUUGUCCUGAGCAUCCAUGGCAUCUCCAUGGCUGCUGCUGCUGGCCUCCUCCUUUGGGUAGCCCAUAGCAGCUGCUGGAGAAGAGGAGAGGCACUGGGAAUAAAAGGGUCCAGUGCAUCCCAGGCCUUGAAUGGAGCAACGUGCUGGAUUAUGGGGGGAAAUAAAGUUGGCUAAGGUGUAAACCCACCUCAGCAAUAAGACAUAUUUCCAUGCCUAUCAGGGGAAGCUCUGCACAUGCUCUAUAUGCAAAUAGAGAUUUCCCACUCCAAUCUGGUCAUUGUUGACCAGGACUGCUGUCCACUGGGGUUCAUUUCAGACUAAGUUAGUUGCACUCAGGUCCCACCAAAACCAAUGUAAAGUUCCUCAGGACUUAGUGCAACUAUUUUGGUCUGAAUCCAAUUCAACAUCUUCAUCCCCUCCACACACACAUCAUAAUUGCCAGGUUGGUAUAAUUUUUACAUGCAAACAUUCAUGUAAUUGGCUCCUUUAAAAUUCAAGUAGACAUUUUACGAAGGCGCAGACUGGUGUUUUUAUAUAUAUAUAAAACCAGGGGGGUGAAGCUACAGAAGUGAAUGUUGCUUUUCUGAUAACUGAUAAUUAAAUUGCAAGAUUUCAGCUAAUUAGAUGGGGUUGGGCAACCCAUUCAGCACUAAGGGCCACAUCAGAAAUACAUCACGAGCAUGAGAACUGUAGCUAAUUUGCAGAAUUUAUUUGCAUCUCAUUAGCACAAUUUACAGGGCAUCAGCCUGCCAGAUGCCAGCUAGUUGCUGAACAUGUUCCACUUAUUUUACAACAUUCUUAUUCUGAAAUGGUGAGCCUUCAAUGUGAAAAAACCCAUCAGCCUUUAAUAUUCCCUGAUAGAUGGAUUUAGACGCAAGAGUUCAGAACUAAAUGUCUUUUUAAAAUAACAAAACAAAACAUUUUAUCCCUUGUUUAAUGUCGGUUUGCCCCACUACUCCCCCAACUAAAUGGUAGGGGAGAGGCUGAAAUGAUGAGAGCAGAUUUUCCUUGUGAAAUGAAAUCUCAAAGUGAUCAUAGCAGUGCAGUUGGAGGGGAUAUACAAGGUCAUCUAAUUCAACUCCCUGCCAAAGCAGGGAACCCCCUAGUACAUUGCCCCUGAUUAGUGGUCAUCUGCUCAGAAUCUAUCACCUUCUACCACAGGCAUGUGGAACCUCUUCCAUUUGGCCCACCAGGGAGUUCUGAGCAAGCCACACCCACCAGGUUCCUUCAAAGGAACAAUCUGGAGCUUAAAGUGAGCUCUUGAGUGUUCCUUUGCUGAAGGAAGGUGUGCUCCCACCACCCAUCAUCUGAAGAUGCACUUCCACAGCUGCUCCUUGAACAUCUGAAAACUGGUGGCUCCAGGAGCAGCAAGGAGUUGUUUGCAAAAGGGCUUUCAAACAGCCUGCACUGCUUCUUGAAGCUCUGAGAACUAGAGGUUCACAGGGCAGGGCAGGGCAGCAUCACCUGACAGGAUAAUGAUAUGUGAUUGACAGGUGAGCAACCCUCUAUCUGGUCAGAAUGUGGAUGUAGUUUUUGGGAUGCACAAGAGUUCUUUUCUGUGCAUAUUUUGGUAACAGUUGCAAUGCAUCAUGGGCCAUGUAGUGUUAGGCUGGGGUGCUUCAUUGAACACUUCCUAGAUGAACGCAACAUGGAUCUGAAAAUAACAAUGCAGAUUUUGCUAAGUCUACCUAUAUAUUCAGAACAUGAUCUUGUGCUGUACAACUCCCUGUCUCUUACCGUUUCAGAUUAAAAUCCAGAGCUUGCCCUACCCAAGAAAGACUGAGAGUGCAAGUGCAAGUCUGGCUGGGUAUUAUAAUGUGCAGUUGGCUGCUUGCAACACAGUGUUGACUCUGGCAAUCAACAGAAAUGUUGCCAUUGAUCUCCAUGGGAAGAGGAUUGUGUCCUUGCUUAUUAAAGAGGCCAAUUUCUUCAAUGCCUUUGUUCCUCAAAGGAGAGCAGUUUGCCAAUAAUUGUUUUUCUCCUGAAAGGUUUUGUCUGAAACUCAGAUUGGGGUCGAGAACCACAGGAAAAAAUGUUUCGGCUUGCUGCAAAUUUUGCAUAAAUCUCAGAUGUGCAUGGAAGCUUGUUUUAUCUCAUCUGCGACGUCUUCUGGGAGGAAGCCAGAUGCAAUAGCGCUUGUUUAAAACAUGCGUUUUGCUGCCCCUUCCCAAGACUUCACCCAAUUCACCUGCUAGGCCAGCGGCACCUUAGAACUAAAGUGGAAGCUUUUCAGGCAAAGGGAGGGGGGGACAGAAGCCAGAUGAGAACUCAGCUAGACAGACAGCCAUCCCCUUAACUCUGGGUAUCAAAAUCCCAGAGAAAGAGAACAAGCCCAGCAUUCUUGGAUGGGAAUCACACCUUCCACACUUUUAUUUUUACUUGAGCACACCUACUGUACAUAGUAGCGUGGCUGCUUCCAGUCUUUACCAUCUGCUCAGAUGGCAUGAUGCCUACACACAUGUUGGAUGAUAUAUAGGUGCCAGGCAACAAUGCGGAUUGAUGGGCAGUCUGCACAACUCUGCAAUUUCUCUCUCUUGUGCAUGGAGGCUGUCCUCCGCCAGAAAUGAAGCAUUGGCACUUUGCGUCUCCAUAGACUUGCUCGCACCUGUUGACACUUCCAUGCCAAAAAAUGAAAAAAGGAGAAGGAAUACUUGAGCAAGGGAAACAAAGGAGACAUUAACCUUACAAGAGCGAUCAUUUCCUAAUCACCAGCCAUCUACCUGGCAUCAGGAAUAUGGAAGACUCUGGCCCAUGGCAAUGUAUCGCCUGUAAUGAACAUCUUCAUGAAAUUUCUCCCUCCUCUGAACUCGGGGCCUUUUGCUAUGUCUUUGUCGUUCACCAGCAGGAACAUCUGAGCAGAUACAUGAGAUUCAGGCAAUGCGAUUGCUGUGCUUCACCUUGAGGCCUAGACAGAUGAGGGUGUCCGUGAGAAUAAUUCGGGUGAAAAAUGAAGGAUUCAGUAGAUUGACAACCAGUGUGGUGUAGCAGAGUGUUGGAAUUAAGACCUGGGAGAUCAGGGUUCAAAUCCUCACUUGGCCACGAACCUCACUGGAGCAGCACCUUGGACUAGUCACUGCCUCUCAGCCAAACCUACCUCACAGGGUUGUUGUGGGGAUUAAAUGAGGAGGGGGAUCCAUGUGUGUCACCUUGAGUUUUUAGGGGGGGGAAGCAGGAUACAAUGGCAACCAAUAAAUCAAUGAAUAAUACCAGCACAUUUGUAAACUCACCUAGCAUUCUGAAAGAAUUCUGGCUCCCAGUCCCAAUGAGCAUGCAUAAGAUUGCCGCCUCCUUAACUAAAUUAUAUAUUUAGGAUACUCUUCCUAGUACUGUAUAUCUUUAUUCAUCGAAGUACUUCUAUGCCGCCAGUUCACAAAACAUCAAGGCAGCAAACAGCAAUAGGUAGGCAGUAAAAAAAUAAAGCAUCAUGUUUUUAAAAGAUAUAUAAAAUAGUCAUUAAAAUGACUCGCUGAUCCAGAACAUCGUAAACAACUGCAUAGGCCCAUCAGAGUAAAAAAAAAGCCUUGCAAUCCAUUAACAGUUCAUAGGUGUUAGAUGGCAUAACGGUAUUAGGUAUUACUACAUAGCUGCACCCAGUCAUUGCCAGGUACUUUUUAUUUUGAUGGUUGUUUUUUUAAAAGAAAGAAAUAUCAUCGCUAUGUAAAUAACUCGAGUCAUAAUUAUAUGGGAGAAAGUGGAGAAAUGGGUGAGUAAGUGACGACUGCGCAGCUGCCAUGACUAUGCUGGAAAUGUAUCCCUCAGCAGCCUAAACAUUCAUUUGACAAUGUACACCAUUGAUUACUUAAUUACAUUUAAAUAUAUGUGCCAGGCACAUCAGAAGCCCAAAGUAAACCAUUACACUGCGCUAUAAAGCCACACGCAUGCAAAUGCUCGGCUAGGUGACUUUUAGAACAAAACAAAACACAACGCUAAUUUAUUUCUUGGAUCUGCGAAAGAUCCUUUCCUUCCUGGCUCUGGAAAACAUCCCUUUCCAUUUCCCCAACAGGUAAACAAUUCUAAGAAACGUUAGCUGUCUGCGUGGGAGCAUCCAUCUUCAGCCUUACACAGCGGACUCUUACAAAAGAUUCUUAUUCUAAUGUAUAUUUGAACAAGAAGAUCUACAUAUGCUUGAUCUCACUAUGACCUGGUUUUGUUGCCAAGGUCACCAAUUAGACCAGCGCUGUUGACUACGGAGCAGUCAAAGCAUCUCUAUUAAUUUCUGGGGAAAGAGUGUUGUUUUACAAACACUACCGUACCAGCUCCCCCCCUUAAUGCACGGUCCAUUAUUUAUUUUGCAUACUUCUUUUAAAUUCCAAAUCCGUGUAUUUUAUAUGCCUGUAACAUGAACCUUUUGUUGUUCCUUGUUAGUCAGGACCUAACACAGUCCUCUCCCAACUGGACAUCUUUAGCUCAUUCAUUCUAUUCUUGCCCAUAAUGGCUCCGGAUAGUGAGCUGGUUUAUAAUCUCUCAUUUCAGAGGCACUGACCCAGAGUAGGACUUUCGGGCAGAAGCAGAGGUGCAGCGUGGGGGGCCCCACAAGGGCGGUUGGAUGUAAGUCUCCAAUCCGAAACCCACUGGGGAGUAUGCCUAACCAAACUCAACUAGCAGAGGGAGAAUGGGUGGGGGGGUUUUCAUGCUCCAGGGUGAGAGUCUGCUGCUGUGAAUCUUGCCCCCAUUCUGGGUGGGAGAGUGGAGGGGAGUGUUGCAUGUAGGAUUCACCCCUUCAAGGCUCUGGAUAUUGUAAUAUACAGUCAUACCUCUUGUUACGUUUGCUUCAGGUUAAAUCUUUUCAGGUUGCAUCCCGUGGUGACCAGGAAGUACCGGAAAGGGUUACUUCUGGGUUUUGCCGCUUGUGCAUGCGCAAAUGCUCAAAAUGACGUCAUGCACAUGCACAGAAGCGGCAAAUUGCGACCCGUGCACACACAGAAACACAGACGUGGGUUGUGUUCUGCUCACGUUGCGAACAGGGCUCCAGAACGGAUCCCAUUCUCAACCAGAGGUACCACUGUAGAAUUAAGAAAUAUUUUGUCUGUUCCUCUGCAAUUGGUAUUCAGAGACAUGGUACCCCUCAUCCUGGAAGUAACAUAUGGCCGUCAGGACUAGAGGGCCAUUGAGACAGGGGGUGGGCAGGUGUGGAGGACUCCCUGGUUCUGAAUGGGGUAACUGUGCCCCUGAAGGACCAGGUGCACAGCCUAGGAGUCAUUUGGACUCAAAGCUGUCCAUGGAGGCACAGGUCAAUUCUGUGUCCAGGGCAGCUAUUUACCAGCUCCAACUGGUACGCAGGCUGAGACCCUAUCUGCCCACAGACUGUCUCGCCAGAGUGGUGCAUGCUCUGCUUCUCUCUCGCUUGGACUGCUGCAAUGCACUCUGUGUGGGGCUACCUUUGAAGGUGACCCGGAAACUACAAUUAAUCCAGAAUGCGGCAGCUAGACUGGUGACUACGUGCGGUUGCCGAUACCAUCUAACACCGGUCCUGAAAGACCUACAUUGGCUCCCAGUACAUUUCUGAGCACAAUUCAAAGUUUUGGUGCUGACCUUUAAAGCCCUAAAUGGCCUCGGCCAAGAAUACCUGAAGGAACGUCUCCACCCCCAUCAUUCAGCCUGGACACUGCCUUCUGGCAGUUCCCUCACUGCAAAGUUACAGGAACCAGGCAGAGGGCCUUCUCGGUAGUGUUACCCGCCCUGUGGAAUGCCCUCCCAUCAGAUGUCAAGGAAAUAAAUAACUAUGAGACUUUUAGAAGACAUCUGACGGCAGCCCUGUUUAGGGAAGUUUUUAAUGUUUGGUGUUUUAUUGUGUUUUUAAUAUUCUGUUGGAAGCCGCCCAGAGUGGCUGGGAAUAAAUAAUAAAUUAUUAUUAUUAUAACCUUAUCCUCCAGGAAUUUGUCUUAUCCACCUUUAAAAUUGGAAACCAUCACCACUCACUGAUUGCUAUAGUCUCCUUCCACACAUACAGCCAACCAACGGAGGAGGCAUCCACUGGCCCCAAUCCCCAAAUGCAUACCAUUGAGGUCUGGUUUACAGCAGGGAGAAAGAAGAGUGUUGCUCCUCCCUGGGUGAGAGCUUCUUGGUGAAACCUGGCCCCUACCCCAUCAGAGAGAUGGUAGGGAAUUGUGUACACCCUAGGCGAGCAACAGGGAACAACUGGUGCUUUUUUCUAUUUCUCGAUGCAAGGCUAAUCAACGUUCCUAACUCACAUCCCAUACGAUGGAUAGCUCUUUUGCAAUUCUGCGAUUUCAUAUUAGAUUGGAUGGAUUGCUUGGAUUGGGUAUACUUUCGCCGUAUGUUUCGUUUGCAUUUAUACAACAUCUUGCCACUUUGGGGGGGCCUUGAGGUCCAGAGCGAUAUAUCAAUAAGUCCCAGCGCACCCCAGCAGGACUUGCUUUUCAGCAAACAUACACAAGAUCAGGCCGCUCAUCCGCUCCUGCAACCUGGUUCCAAGCACCACUGGCCUGAGAUUGGUACAUGAUUUGGGGAGUGCGGGAGAGCUAUUAGCUCCGUGUCUGAAUCUUCCAUUCCCUUUUCAGAAAACUCAUUUCCCCCUUUUUUGUGUGUGCCUUUUAGCAAAAAGCUUUCAAAUGCUUGAAAUAAUGUGCAAGCAAAAUGGUUUCCCCUUCUGGAGCAGGGCACUUGCAAUAUACGGUAUGUAAACCACUCCUCCCCCCCCCUCUCCAGCCGCAUCCCUUCGUCCAUCUAUUAUAUUAACUCGAGCCUUAGCGAUACAGUGGUUAAAAACAGAGGACGGCCGCAUCUAAAUGCAGCGAUGGGGGGGGGAGAUGUAAUAGGUUUCCCUGCUUAAUGUAAUAGAAUUGGCAAGAGGUACUGGGAGCAGGAGCGAAAGUAGUCACUCAAGCAUUGUGUUUGCAUGAUAUUUAAAUACAAGUGGCUGAGGUAUAAGUACCUCUAAGUACACCUGAAAGAGAUGGUGCCUUGUAAUCAUUGUUUCAGCAAUUGACAGUUGUUUACACAACAGCCGCACAUUCUCUGCUGAUUUGAAUAAUAAACAUGCUUAAACACCAGCUGGAUAAUAGAAGGAUAAUUGAAACAUAGUUUAAAGCUCUGAUUUACAGGCAUUGUGGCACCACUUUUAUUUGUGGUACAAUGCUACACUUUGGGGCUGUCUCUUGAAAAAAACAUAAGCAGGCAUUGUUCCCCGACCAACCCAAGACGUGGGUUCACUGGAUGAAUCUAUGGGGUGUUUUGAGUACACGUGGAGCUGGGCGCCGAACUCUUGUCAUCUCCUAGUCAAGAGGUGGCUUGGGUUUUUUCAAUACAGGGGUAAAAUGCACUCAGAGGCCUUGUUAUCAAUGUCAGUGGCUGCAGUGGGGAUUUCAUUGUUGUUAGGCAGGAUCCAGAGGGACUUUUGUGGGAGAGGAACAAUAACAGGUGCUGCCAGGACAGGGCUUAAUAAAUAAUAAUAAUAAUAAUAAUAAUAAUAAUUUUAUUAUUUAUAUGCCAGCCAUCUGACAGGGUUGCCUCAGCCACUCUGGGCAACAGAAACUACAAAAAACACAAUGCGACAUCAAACACUAAAAACUUCCUUCUACGAUUUAUUAUCGUUUUAUUGUUGUGAUUUAUUAUCAUCCUUUUAGUGUGUUCAAAACCCACUCUUUUUCUCUAGGUUGCUCAAAGUGGCAUAUAGGGUUCCUUGUCUCCUCAUUUAGUCCUCAGAACAACCUUAUGAGGUAAGUUAAGCUGAGAGGCAGUGACUGACCCAAUGCUCACUCAGGCUGAGUGGGGAUUUGAACCCUGGUUUCCCGGGCCCUGGUAUGGCACACAAACCACUACACCUCAUACUGAUUCUCAAUGAGGAGUCAACAGGAGGGCCUCCAAAGGCAGCAGAGAUGAUUUCCCACAUUUUGGAGUAAGGAAGUGAAGUAAUACGCAUUGGUGUCUAUGGGGAAGGGGGAAGUCCAUGCAGCACCAUUUGAAAGUCCACAGUCUAAACCAGGUGAUGCAGCCCUCCAUGACUCUUUUCCUGGCCUCCAGGCCGCAGCCCCUUCCCAGACCAUAACCCUCACUGGCCCAGCUUCAUAUCCUGAAUUUUUGUUUUCUGGCCUGGCUGGGAUGUGUCCUUGAAUUCUAAUGCAGUCUCUUGCUAGUCUGGAUGAAAGGUGUGUGGAGCAACCAACCUACAGUGGUACCUCUGGUUACGUACUUAAUUCGUUCAGGAGGUCCGUUCUUAACCUGAAACUGUUCUUAACCUGAAGCACCACUUUAGCUAAUGGGGCCUCCCGCUUCCCCCACGCCGCCACCGCACAAUUUCUGUUCUCAUCCUGAAGCAAAGUUCUUAACCCGCGGUACUAUUUCUGGGCUAGUGGAGUCUGUAACCUGAAGCGUCUGUAACCCAAGGUACCACUGUACUUACUAAGGUAACAUGAAAUUGCUCCAUGCAUUGGAAUGUGGCCCUUGGGAGGUUGCCUGGAAUGAAUUAUGCCCCUUGGGGUUAAAAAGGUGUCCUGCCCCCAGUCCAGAGGCACCGGGUUCUGUCCAACAUUGGGGAGGCUCAUGACAUCACACGUGCGACACAUGUGUGACAUCAUAUGGGUUGUGAGGAGUCCAUGGGGCCCGAUGAGGCCCGCCACCACCCCAGCCACUUGAGACAACUACCAGCUCAUUCUCCUCCCCAAGCUCAGCAGUAGCAGCACUGGCGUGGGAAAUGGAGACAUUCCAGGAUCAAAACAGAAGCCAGGAUGGCUUCCGUAGUUCUGGGAAUGUCCCUGGAAAAGCAUGACUCUUGGAGGGUAUGCAAAGCUCAGCUUGAGACUAGGCCCUCCUGCUUCUGUUCACAUUCAACCAGGAUCUCCAAUCCUCUUAGACCCAAACUCAACAUAAGAUUAAAUGCGCCUUAGCAUUUAAUAGUCAGUCUUUUUAAAAAAAAUAAAUAAAUAAAUGCAAAUAGCAUCAGCUGGGGGGUUGGGUUGAUCAUGAUCAGGACUACAGCAGGUGAGGGGGAGUGGAAUUUAACCCUUUUCCUACCUGUCAUGGUCCUGGUAGAAGCAGAUAUGCUUUAUUGUACCAGACAAAGGCCGGGACAAAACCAUACAGAAACUAUCAAAGAAAAAAAGAUAUAAAAAUCUAUAUAUCUAUAUAUCCAUGGUCCUGGAGAUAAUCCCUCCUCUGAAAGUACUUAUCCUGCAAGCAAAUACCACCUUCAAGUCCACAACAACGGAGCAAAAUAUUAAAUCCCCUCUCUUGGAAUGCUGCGCUCUUGCUCAUUAUCAACCCACCCAACAUAUUUUUAAAAUUAUCUGCACGUUAAAGGUAGAUCAUGCCUAGUUUGGCCCCUAGAGGCCACCUGUAUGAAUACUGGAGCACAGGCAAUAUUAAGAAAGCCAUUAGCUUUCACUGCAGGUAAUUCACAAUAGGGAUGUGGGCACCAUAAGUGUAACCCAUUGCCCGUGGUACGCUAUUAUAAUUCAUUUGUGAUGCUCCAGAACAACAGGGCUUGUAGGUCCAAACCAAGUAUUCUUCACUUCAGAGUUCCAGUUCUCCUGUACAUUUGUGUGUGUGGUAAAUCACUGUACGGCGACAUUGCCCUGUCCCUGUCCAUUUCAUGGCGUGAGAUCUGCAUUUUAUUGCGUCAUCAGAAAAGAGUGGGAUCAGUAGUGACUGAUAAAUUGAUUUGAUCGAUAAUAUACUCCCUUUCUGCCAAGAAACCAUUUCUAAUUCAAAGCAAAACAAAGCUUCUGAAAAAUAGAGUCCAAAAAGUGGCUUUUUCAGGAGCUGAUGGCAUGGGCACUCAGGUCUGAAUUUGUAGAGCAAAUAAAGUAUAACUGUUCAUUUCUUAUUUAUCUUAAGUUACUCACAUUAUUUUGUUUGAUGGAAAUUAAGAUGUAUAGCCAGGCAAAGUGAUUGAGAAGGCUUGGACUCCUUAAGUUUAGGCCCUUAUAUAAAGUUGUUUGAACCCAGUCAGAUUGGAGACUAUUGAAAAUCCAUAUCAAUGUUUUGAAAUUGUGAUUACAAAGGAAUAAUAAUAAUAAUAAUAAUACUGGUGCGUUUGUUCUUCUUUUUUGACAACCUCCUCUACUGCCCUAACAUGUCACAUCUCAAAAUCUCCAGUCCUAAAUUGCCUUGUUCAGAUAGGUGUUUGACAAUGGAAGAGAUCUUCACUUGUUAUUUAUUACCUGCUGGGCGUCUAGACAUUUUGCCUUCCCUUGCAGGAAUAUUGCAUUUCCUCAACUGCAAUAUUUUGCCCCUGAAUGUGGAUAGUCCUUGUACCAGCACUAGAAUCAGCGUUUACAUUCGCUCUUCAUCUCCUCUCACUCUCAUAGCACAGUGAAUGAGCUUUUCUCAGUUUCUCUUUGUGCUGGAAAAGGCACCUUGUCAACUUCCCUUCCCUUCAUGUUGAUGGCAAAAGAAAAAUUGACAGCUGAAGGGAAAAAAGCAAACUGGCUAUGAUUUGCAAGGUGAGUUGGUGAAAACUAAGGCUGCAAUCCUAUGCGAGCAUCUCUUGGGAAGAAGCUCCACUAAACACAAUGGGACUUUAUCUCUGAGUAACAUGCUUAGGAUUCUGUUUUAUGUUUUCAAGGAACCUGCACAAUAUGAUGGCACAGAGGAAGCCACCUUUAUACCCAGUUUGACCAUUGGUCUGUUAAGUAUAGUACUUUAAUUCACUGAAAUUGCAUAUGCUUGUAUGCAUUACUAUGUGCUUAAAUUAGAUUGAUUGGUAACUGAAUUCUAGAGAGUUCUCUAGUAGUUCUCAUAACAUUGGUAUGCCCCACGGAGGACCUUACGGUCUUCAAACAAAAACAUCUUGGAGGUCCCGGGCCACAGGGAGGUUAAGCUGGCCUCAACCAGAGCCAGGGCUUUUUCGGCUGUGGCCCCGAUCUGGUGGAACGCUCUGUCACAAGAGACUAGGGCCCUGUGGGACCUGACAUCUUUCUGCAGGGCCUGCAAGACAGAGCUGUUCCACCAGGCCUUUGGCCCAUCCUUUGGUAAUCCUCAUAGAACUCUAGCCCAAUGGUUGCCAUUAAUUUGAUUCUGAAUUGAUUCUAGAAUGAAUUGAUUUUAGAAUGUGUGAUUUUAUGUAAACUGUGUUACUUUUAUUGUUGUUAGCCACUCUGAGCCCGGCUCUGGCUGGGGAAGGUGGGAUAUAAAUUAUUAUUAUUAUUAUUAUUAUUAUUAUUAUUAUUAUUGGAGGUAUUUAGUUAAGGAGAGGCUCCAUUUUAUGUGAAGCAAGAUUACUGUGUUUUAGAAUCCACUGAGAACACUACUAAGAUGAAUGGAGUGUUGGAGUCCUUCUUCUCUGCUUGAAAGAGAGCAAAGCUGCAGGAGAAGGUAAAAGUGGAAAUCUCUCAUAGGAGCUGCAAGGCAUGGCUUAAUUGAGAUACAGAAGGCUGAGUGCUGAGCACUUGAAAAUACAAUUAUUUGGAAGUAGACUGUGUGCCCAUAAGCACGUGACUGUAAAUGUUACGUUUUGAUUCAUCCAUAGCUAUAAAUUUCUGCAAGUAAAGUUUUUGAAUGUUAAAUUCUGGGCAUUGGCUUAAUUUCCAAAGAAGUGUGUCAGUCAUAUAUAUGGUUUGAGUUUCUUAGCUGCGAUUUCACUACCCUUACUUCAACAUGGGCCUUGGUGCUCAUACUUUAUUUAAGUGGUGACAGGCAAUGGCUGUCCAGGGUUUCAGACAGGAGAUAUUCCCAGCCCUAUCUGAGAUGCCAAAGAAUGAACCCAGGGUAAAGCAGAGGCUCAAUCACUGAACUGAAGCCCUAUUAGUGAACUAUUAUGGGUUAAAUCAGGAUCCGGUGGAAUCCUAAAAGAUGCAUGCUAGAGCAAAAAGAAACAAAAAAGGGGGAUGCAACAGCACAGGAGCAAAACAGGGUAUUAGUAAUGCUAGUAGUUCUAUUUAUAUGGACCAUUUGACAACCUUAUUUGAACAGCUCCACUGACUACCAGUCCGUUUCCAGGUACAAUUGAAAGUCCUGUUUAUGACCUAUAAAGCUCUACACAGCUUAGGUCCAGGCUAUAUGAAAGGUUGUAUGUCCUCCUAUGAACCUGCCUGGGUUCUGAGAUCUUGUGGCCUGUGGUCAGGGAUGGUAGGCGUUGGAAUCUAACACACUUGGCUGGAAUAGAGGACAUCCUCUUUUCUCUACUGUACAGACUUUAUCACCUUCAAAAUUAAAGGAAAACUUUUGCCUGCUGCCCACACAGAAGUCUCUUCCGCUCUCCCUUCCUAUCUCUUUCCAGAUGACUAGAAGAGAUGGAAAUCCAGUUCUAUUUCCUUUCCACUAGCAAACUUCCAGCCAUUAUUUUAAAACAUUAUUUUUUCAGGCAAGUGCAUUGGGUCAAAACAUCUCAUUUUUUGAGAGCAUCUCAAGAGAUAGCAGCAACAGAGAAAAAAACAACUCCUUUUUUAAUCAGGCACAAUGCAUAUAAUAUGACUUCUGAAUGCAACAAGUGCUAUUAUAUAUUACAUAAUAUAAUAAUAUAAUAUAAUAUUAAUAAAUAAUAUUCAGUGGCUUGUAAGUAGCUAGAGGUGAGCAAAAACACUUAUCAUUUUUGUGACAAGGGGGGAAAGAGGGAGGUGGAGAAUCCUCAACACUUUGCCUUAAAAUAUAAUGUAAGCAGCUCUUACAAAUUUAUGAGUACAAAGCCUUCCAUCUAUUAAGAUACACCCCCCCUCGUGGUUAAGCCCAGGUACCAAAAAGCUUUGCUAUUAAUGUGCCAUUGUGUCAAGGACAACUAAUGAAGCUGCAUUUCAUAGUCCAAAAUGAUCCAUCGAAAUCAGUGUGUGUGUGUGUGUGGACACAAAAAGUGCCAGGUCAUGUUCAGCAAACGGUCAAAACAUGUUUUCAUUGUAUUAUUGAAGGGUUCAAGAGUUUAACAGGAUAAAAAUGCAUGGACCCGAUCAGUAGCAGGUAAACGGAUGAAUCUCUUUUAUUUCUCACUUAGUAUUGAAUCAAGCUCAACAUAAUACCUUCUCCAGUGCUAAGGAGAUCGAGGAAGCCCUUGAGGUUGUGGGCUUCCAUUGCUAUGGGAGGUGGAACUUCAUUGCUGAAGUCAUUCUCAUUUAGUACCGCUUACAAGACCUGCGAAAGUGGGAAGCAAGCCAGUUCCAACAAAUUGACCUACUGGCCACAUCAUGCCCAGGGCUGGUCCUACCAUUAGGCAGAGUGAGGCUGCUGUCUCUGGCAGCAGAUGCUGGGGACUAUGUGCAGCACGCCAGCCUGGCUGCUCCUCUUGAACCCGCAGCUGCUCCAAACUUGUUUGGUUUAGGCAUUGGGUAAAACCGGGCUAGGAUUAAACCACAGAGCCUAGGGCUUGCCAAUCAGAAUGUUGGUGGUUCAAAUCCCUGCAACGGAGUGAGCUCCCAUUGCUCAGUCCCUGCUCCUGCCAACCUAGCAGUUCGAAAGCACAUCAAAAUGCAAGUAGAUAAAUAGGUACCACUCUGGCGGAAAGGUAAACGGUGCUUCUGUGCACUGCUCUGGAUUCACCAGAAGCGGCUUAGUCAUGCUGGCCACAUGACCCGGAAGCUGUACGUUGGCUCCCUUGGCCAAUAAAGCGAGAUGAGCGCCGCAACCCCAGAGUCAGUCACGACUGCACCUCAUGGUCAGGGGUCCCUUUACCUUUACCUAAAACCGGGCUAUAUCUCGACUCCUGCCUGUCUGCAGGGAGUCCAACUAAGGGUAAACCACCAAUAGGAGGAACCCUAUGACUUACUUCAAAUAGGGGCACCCCGAGGUGUCCCCGUUGGGGUCAUGGCAUGGCCGUAGCCCACAUCCGGGCAUCGGACAGGAUCCACAACCCCGGAUCCCUUUAACACGAUACCCUUAUUGAGGAGGGGCAGGCGGAGGCUUACAACCUCCCCUCCAAUAAACAAAGGCUUACCCAAUGCCUAACCUUACAAAGUAGUGACGAUUGCUACAAGGCAAGAGAAAUCCAAAUGGUUGGUGCCAGUUCACUAAAUGGAAAAAUUCCCACCCGGCCCCAACAAUAUGGCAGCGACAUUUGUCCAUAGCAAGGUUGUGUCAUAGGUAACAGUACCCCUGACUGUUAGGUCCAGUCGUGGAUGACUCUGGGGUUGCGCGCUCAUCUCGCUCUAUAGUCCAAGGGAGCCGGCGUUUGUCCGCAGACAGCUUCCGGGUUAUGUGGCCAGCAUGACUAAGCCGCUUCUGAUGAACCAGAGCAGCGCACGGAAAUGCUGUUUACCUUCCUGAUGGAGUGGUACCUAUUUAUCUACUUGCACUUUGACAUGCUUUUGAACUGCUAGGUGGGCAGGAGCUGGAACUGAGCAACAGGAGCUCACCCCAUCGCAGGAAUUCGAACCGCCGACCUUCUGAUCAGCCAGCCCUAGGCUCUGUGGUUUAGACCACAGCAUUUAAAAAAGCAUAAAAAGAGGGUGGGUGGGUUGGGAGAUCCGGUGUGGAGCUUAAAUCUCCUGUGGUCAUGCCCAGGUCCCCAUCUUUGAUACAUUCCUGCUUGUUUCUAACAGAUCUUCACACAGCUACCCUUGAGUGCUGAGGGUUCCUGCUAAGUUGUCUUAAACGUGGUGCUAUAGGUAGCAGGCACAAUCACAUUUUGUUGGAGAGGAUGUUGUAUUCCUGCUGCUGCUGCCAGCAUCCAAAGGCACAACAGCAUAUUGUUGAUGAACAGAGUCAACUUCAGCAUUGUGGCACUGGACUUUUCCCUCCCAAAAUUUUUUAUUUUAAAACGAAACAAAACAAAAAUCCUUCAAAGAGCUGUAAGGCGUUUUGCAAAUAUUUAGAAAGAGAAUUAAGGUAAUAUAUGUAAAGAUCUGCUCAUAUUUGAUAAACUUGAAUCAAUUUAAUAAAUCCUGUCCAGUUUUAAUAAACACUGGAUUAGGGUUUGACUUCUUAGGAACAAAUUUAUAAUGAAAAUAUUUAAUAUGUGAUGUCUUGUGUAUAUACUGUGCCCGGUUGUUGUGUUUUCCUUUUUAUCAAGGACCCGUAUCAUCUAACAGUGUUAAGAAUUUAAAGAACUGUAUUCAAGGAAAUUGUUUGGAGACAGAAUGCACUAUUAAUAGGUAGAAAGGCACAAUCGCUAGGCUAAACAGAGCUCGAGUGACUCAUUCACACUGAUCCCACUAAAGGCCAUAUGAACACAGAGGGAGGUUUCUGCACACAUGCCUCUACUGUGCACCCUGUUCCUCUUCCCAGUCUAGUUGCUGGGGCUACAUAUCUCAAGCAUUCUUUAAAAAUAGUACAAGAGUUUAGUAGCUCUAUUGCCAAAUAGCAAUAGCUCUGUACACAUAACCCCAUAAGAUGGAUCAGGGGGACAAAUGAUGCUCAGAGUUCCUCAUCUAGCCAGGGAUGCAGCCUUCUGAGUAGAUGCUGCCUAUAGGUGGAUCAGGACAAACUCGUUCUUCCGUGUUCAUUUCCAACCAAGUUAUUCUAUCUUCCUAUCUACUGAAUUACGUUGUGUAUAUAUUUCCAACAUCAUCUACCAUUCUUCAUGUUUCGGCAUCAUCUUGCCAGAAUGGGUUUAGGAGGUCCUGUUUUGCGGUAGCUCUGGGACUUUUGGGAAACUGUCUCUUAGAAGGUGGUGCUGGGGGACUUUGCCUUGUGAUCUUUGGCAUGUGGAGUACUACAGAAUUCCAUCUGGUUCUCCGUGUUUUCAGCACCUACAUGAAACCACUGGGAAAGGCCAUCCAAAGAUUUGGACUUGGGGUGUCAUCCAUGCUUCCCUAAAUCAAGAGAUUGGCUAAAUCCGAAUUGGAGAACUACACCAAUUGCAUAGGGAAUCUCCAGAUUUAAGAAUGAUGAUACCCAGUUCUACCUCUCUUUGAAAUCAGAACCAGUGAAGGUGGUGAAGGUCCUGUGUGAGUGUCUGGAGGCAGUUGGAGGAUGGAUGGCGACUAACAGAUUGAGGUUGAAUGCUGACAAGACAAAAGUACUGUUCUUGGGGGACAGGGGACGGGCUGGUGUGGAGGACUCCCUGGUCCUGAAUGGGGUAACUGUGCCCCUGAAGGACCAGGUGCGCAGCCUGGGAGUCAUUUUGGACUCGCAGCUGCCCAUGGAGGCACAGGUCAAUUCUGUGUCCAGGGCAGCUGUUUACCAGCUCCAUCUGGUACGCAAGCUGAGACCCUAUCUGCCUGUGGACUCUCUCACCAGAGUGGUGCAUGCUCUGGUUAUCUCUCGCUUGGACUACUGCAAUGCGCUCUAUGUGGGGCUACCUUUGCAGGUGACCCGGAAACUACAACUAAUCCAGAAUGUGGCAGCUAGACUGGUGACUGGGAGCAGCCACCGAGACCACAUAACACCAGUCUUGAAAAACCUACAUUGGCUCCCAGUACGUUUCCGAGUACAAUUCAAAGUGUUGGUGCUGACCUUUAAAGCCCUAAACAGCCUCGGUCCAGUAUAUCUGAAGGAGUGUCUCCACCCGCAUUGUACUACCACUGAGGUCCAGCGCUGAGGGCCUUCUGGCGGUUCCCUCACUGCGAGAAGCCAAGUUACAGGGAACCAGGCAGAGGGCCUUCUCGGUAGUGGCACCCGCCCUGUAGAACACCCUCCCACCAGAUGUCAAAGAGAACAACAACUACCAGACUUUUAGAAGACAUCUGAAGGCAGCCCUGUUUAGGGAAGCUAUUAAUGUUUGAUGGAUUACUGUAUUUUACUACAGUGGUACCUCGGGUUAAGUACUUAAUUCGUUCCGGAGGUCCAUUCUUAACCUGAAACUGUUCUUAACCUGAAGCACCACUUUAGCUAAUGGGGACUCCUGCUGCUGCCGCGCCGCUGGAGCACGAUUUCUGUUCUCAUCUUGAAGCAAAGUUCUUAACAUGAGGUAUUAUUUCUGGGUUAGCGGAGUCUGUAACCUGAAGCGUAUGUAACCUGAAGCAUAUCUAACCCGAGGUACCACUGUAUUUUGUUGGAAACCACCCAGAGUGGCUGGGGAAGAGUUGGAAACCACCCAGGAAGAGUUGGAAACCACCCAGAGUGGCUGGCCAACCAGAGAGGAAAGUGUGAGGCAGCAGUAGUUGGAGGAGAAUGUUUUGCUGACAAGGAGGCAUGAGUGGUUCCCAAUCCACAUUAAACUGAGAAAUGGAUAGACCCUUAAAGAACAGCAUCACCACCUCCAGAGUAAGCUGCCAUUAAGCUCCAGCCAUUGUUUUUUCCACAUAUUAAUUAUUUUGGGAGUUUCUUAUGGUGUUAGAUUUGGUUCACGGGAUGCUCAUAGCUGCUCCUUUUUCUGUAGUUUCAAAACAAAAGGGAUUGCCAUUUCCUUGCAACUUGUGCAUGCUAAAGGAACACUGAAGAACUAAGCAUAAAACUGGACAUAGAAUACAAAGAACAGCAAUGUAGAAAUGAUAGACAGACAGUGUGCAACCUGGGAUCAAUGAGCAACUCCAUCACAGAAGCUCCAGCAUAAAUAUUGCCCCUCCCACAUGAUACCCUUCCCAAGGGAAUCUGGAUCCGGCAUCUUCUUAAAUCUCAUCUCUUAUUAAAUUUGCUGAAGUUGUAUAUAAUUUGAAAGACAUUUUUCAAUUGUCUCCCUUUGGAGAUUACUGCUUUAAAACACUUAAACAUAUAUUACUCAGUCUUCCAGCAGUUUUGAUUUGACAGAUUAACUGGAAAAUCUCUUCUUCUGAAUUCCUUUCCCCCCUACCCCUGCCUCCAGAAUUUGUGUACCGUUCGUAAUCUCUUUAAUAUAAUCUUUUUCAAAGAUAAUUCUUCAGACGCAAAUGAGGGGAUCCAUGAAACAACCAGAGAAUUCAAGCAAAUGCUCACAUUGUAUGCGUGCCCCCUCAUUUCCUUGUACCACAGCAACCCUGUUCAGUCAUUGCUCACGUGAAAGGUCAACACAAGUAUUAUUAUUAUUAUUAUUAUUAUUUAUUAAAUUUGUAUACUGCCCUUCAUCCAUAGCUCUCAGGGUGGUUCACAACACUAAAGUAGCAAGGGGCUUUAGCCCUAGCCCAAUUGCGUGGUUCCUUCUGGCUUUCCAUGCAGUCAGAAGAAAUAUCUGUAGCACAGAGCCUAUGGUACUCAUGUAGACUUCCCAAAGCCUUUAGAACCCUGCUUGUACAAGGUUCUAGAUCAUGAAGGUUCUAGAUCCAAACUCCCUGCUACAGACAUUUAUUUGCCCUGGUGACAGAAGGAGCUGUCCAGCAAUGGGGACCAAACUAGACCCACAAUAUCUUUGUCUUUACCUUGUCACUUCCCAUGAGCAGUGACUGAUAAAGGCUACAGUUCUGUUGAAGCAGACAGAUAACAGAAUAGCCUUAAUAUUAAAACUUACUUAUUCCUACCCACAAAAGAAGACUUUUAAGCCUUUACAUGUGCAUCCAGAAGGCAGAAGGCAGCAUGUGGUGUAGUGGUCAUAUAGUGUUAGGCUAAGAUGUGGGAGACCAGGGUUCAAAUUCCCACUCAGCCAUGAAGCUCCUGGAUGACCUUGGACCUGUCACUCACUCUCAGCCUAACCUGCCCAAAAGGUUGUUGUGGGGAUUAAAUGACAGAGGAGAACUAUGUAUGCCACCUUGAGCUCCUUGGAGGAAAGGUGGCAUAUCAAUGAAUGAAUGAAUCAAUCAAGAACUUCAUGCUAAAAUGCACCUUGGGAGGUUGCACUAAGGAGAGCACAAAACAUUCUGCAACCAGAAGCACUGUUGGAGCCUCCGUACGACCGAGCUGUGAAGGCUACUCCUCCGGCUCUCCUCCAAUGGUGAUUAACGACCUAAGCCUUUGAAUGGGACUUCAGGCACGCUCUCCAUUGCGCAGAGUACCCAGACAACAGCAGAAGGAGACAGAAAUAUGUGCUACAUUGCUGCUUUAUUUCUCUUUUUUUAAAAAAGAUAUUUAUUAAAAGUUUAACAAUUACAGAAAAAGAGGGGGAAAAGAAAACAGUAAAAAAUUACAAUACAUUACAUCAAAAGAAAAUAAGAACCAGAUUAAAAAAAGGAAACAAUGCAACACAACAAUAAAAACGAAAACAAUUAAAAACAAAAAACAUGCAAAAACACAUCCAAUAUUCCUUAUCUUUACCUUUCAUUUACCUGUUUCAUCGACCUCCUCACACCUCCCUUUUUGUAUUCUAGUUCAGUUAACUCAGCAAAUUCUCUCCAUCUUUCUCAAUUUUUAUUCUAUAAUUUAUCUUAACAGUCUAACCUUUAAUUUUUCCAUUUUUACCCAUUAUCAAUCAACUUUUACUUAAAUCUUUAUUACAUUUCUGUUAAAACCAUAUAGCUUCAUUCCAACAUCUUUCUAACAUUCAUUAAUUUUGCAAUGUUUUUGUAAAUAUACUUUAAAUUUUUUCCAAUCUUCUUCCACCAACUCUUCUCCCUGGUCUCGGAUUCUGCCAGUCAUUUCCGCCCGUUCCAUGUAGUCCAUCAGCUUCAUCUGCCAUUCUUCCCGGCUGGGUAAAUCUUGUGUCUUCCAAUACUUUGUGAUAAGUAUUCUUGCUGCUGUUGUGGCAUACAUAAAGAAAGUUCUAUCCUUCUUCAUCACCAAUUGGCCCGACCAUGCCCAGGAGAAAGGCCUCUGGUUUCUUCAGGAAGGUAUAUUUAAAUACCUUUUUAAUUUCAUUAUAGAUCAUCUCCUAGAAUGCCUUAAUCUUUGGGCAUGUCCACCAAAGGUGAAAGAAUGUACCUUCAGUUUCAUUACAUUUCCAACAUUUGUUAUCGGGCAAAUGAUAAAUUUUUGCAAGCUUGACUGAUGUUAUGUACCACCUAUAAAUCAUUUUCAUGCUUUAUUUCUCACUACGCAGGACAGAAAAGAAUAUGUGUCUGCUCUCUGUGAGAGACAGAAAACAACAGAACAAAGAAACAGGAAUCCAGUAACUUCAACAUCCGUCUCCCAUCUCCCGUGAGACUUCCAACAGUCUGGAAUGUCAACAGAGUCUUGUGAGUCCAAAAACUGCACAGUGGCAUAACACAAACCUAACAAGCACGUGUCUUAAUCACAGUUCUCUCUUCUUAAGCAGUGAUUUUGCACAAAGUCAUAAAAGGCCCUUCUGCAUGCAGAAGGGCAGCUCCAGAUCCAACCUAACAUCUAUUGACGUUUGAACAUCCCUGCCAUAGAGGAAUUUCAGAGAAAAACAUGGAUACAAUACUAUUUUCUCAGAAGCAUCUACAUUCUUGUUUAAUGCACUCUUACUAAGGGAGGGCAAAUCUGUCAAUCUCAGAUUCUCCCUGUUUCUCAGUCCAAUCCUAAAUUCAGUUUAACCCAUUUCCACAUAAGUUUUCAUUUUAAAAAAUUACAUGAAAAUUUGUGCUAAUGUCCAUGGACAUUUCUCCUAAUUUGCCAAAUUUGUGCAUAGUUCUGCCUAGAAUAUGCAUUUUAAAGCAGCUUUUCAUUAUUAUGUGCAUAUUUGCGAAUGCAUGCUUUAGUUGGAAAAUUGCGUUGCAAAAUUUGGAGAACUCUGAAUUUCAAAGAAGAGCAGUUUUGGUUCACAUUUGGGAAGUGUGAAUUUGCAUUAAAAUGCAAACCAUACUAAUUCUUACGAUGGUACCUUUUUACUUAGUUUAAGUAAUCAAAUUUAGUACGAUUCUUGUAGUUUACAAACCUGCUGCCUUUUUACAUGCAGCCUGCAAGCUCACUAUUGCUUCUAGCUCUCAGAAGAUGUUAAGAGAAAAUACCAAAAAGCGAAUUAGAUUCCCUCUCACUUUAAGCUUGAGCCGGUCUUGUGACAUAACUAACCUCUGUUCCUAGUUAACUGUUUUUCUGUCAACUCAAUAUUUUUAUGUCAGUAGUAAAGAAAAUGAAACUUCUCCCUGUCUGAGCCUGCAGAAAUCUUCCUAUCUCUCAGAAAAGGAUAUAAUGCAUUAAUAAGGAUAGCUAUCUGCAGGGAAGCUGGUUAGUUAGUGAAACUCCUGCUUUUGCUUUCAAUGCUGAAACGAAUGAAAAUGAGAGGAAGUAUAUUGAGACAUAUAUAUAUAUAUAUAUAUAUAUAUAUAUAUAUAUAUAUAUAUAUUUGAGCUGUUAAUAAUAAUAACGCAAGCCCAGAGACACUGGAGUCAAAGGAAGGAAACUUAAAUUUGAUCCAAGAUGGGAUGGUGGGCCAGAUUCUUCCUUUCCCCAUCCCCUCCAUAGGCAUUAUAACACAUAACAGCAACAAAAAGAGAAGGAACAACAACGGUUUACCUGAUGCAGAUGCUAAUGUAAAUUAUUACUACCAGGUAAUGCAGGUAUCACAUUCCAGGUAGUUUGAUGUUCCUAAUAGACCAAGAUAGUUUGCAUCAGCCUCUAAGCGAGGCAUAGGCAACCUCGGCCCUCCAGAUGUUUUUGGACUACAAUUCCCAUCAUCCCUGACCACUGGUCCUGUUAGCUAGGGAUGAUGGGAGUUGUAGUCCCAAAACAUCUGGAGGGCCAAGGUUGCCUGUGCCUGCUCUAAUCCCUUACAAAAAAUCAAUAAGGAUUCUCAACCAAGGAUUCUUAGUUUUCCAGGGGAACUUCCACUAUGGAUAUGUCAAGUAGCUGGCAAGUAGACCUAUUGCUUUAUUCAAAAGUUUCAGAGUGCACCCUGGUCUACUAGAUGUCACUUUAAGCACAGUUGGUUGUUGUCACGCAUUUGGAAGAGAUAGCUCCUUUAUCCUUAUGUGCCCUUCGCCAUUCAAGCAGGUCAGGCUAUAACUCUAAAUAAAUAAUUUGGCCGUCUACCAAUUUAAUCUUUCACUGUGAUCUAAAGAUGUGCAAGGAACUGCAUGUUUAAAGAGAUGUGGCAACUCCGUUCCCCUCUAAUGUGCCUUUGGGGUCCUUUUUUCCUCUCCCUUUUAAAUGGCAGGGCUGAGUAACUGAAGCAACGUGGCUGUAACCUCAAUUGACUGAGACUAAAUAGAGUUCAGAGGGAUGUUUAGCAGUGGAAGUGGAGAAAUAUCUUUUCGAGGAAUCAGGAGGAAGAUUGUCGUAAAGUGUCUCAGCCAGUUUAUGCUGAGCCUUAAGAGUCGCCCAGCAAAGAGCAGAAUUUGGAAAUGGGUUGUUUCCCAGCAUCCCAGCUAUUGAGAUUUCCCUGGUUAAUUGGCUUUAUUUUCCUCCAAACUCUCCUUAGUCUCAGUAAAUUGAGAUCCGUAACAAGUUAUUUCAAAUGCUUAGGCCUGUCAUAAAACGAUAUUGCAUUUCAUGGUCCUUAAUGUGGCCCUAGGCUUCAGCUCACACUCUGCAAACCAUUUUAUCACAUGGUUAACUGCUGCCUCCAUUCACAAUGCUGUCAUAUUUCCUAGCAAGAGGUGUGGUUUUUUUCAUCUGGAAUGUACAAAUAUUUGCUUUUCAGUCAACACUGCAAAGCAGGGUCAGGUUAUCUAGAGUGUAUCCAAUGUUACAUGCCUUAUAGUGAAGAAAAUCUGACUAGGACUCGUAAAAUCCAGGUUCAAAUCUCUACGUGCCCAUGAAGAAUAGUGUGUGAACAGUCAUUAUUUGUCACCUCGCAGGGUAGCCACAAGAGUAAAAUUGACCCAUGUACACAACUAAAGCAUCCAGACCCUUGCAGUAGUGGGUAGGGAAACCAGCAACUGGAAGGACUUGCUAGAGAUAGGAGAGGCUUUAUGGGCCUCAUUCUUAACUGGUUUGGAUGCUCAGGUAUCUCAUUGUUCUCCAGAUGCAUGGAACUCAAGAGUUCUCUAUGCCUUCCAGUUUUAUUAGUUGACCUGGGAGGCAUGGGAAACAAAAACUCCCAUGUUUACCAAUAGAUAAUGGCAACGCCUUUCUUCAUGUCUUGGGGAGUGUGAAUAGAGUCUGAAUUUCAGUAUUGAGAUCAGAGUGCAUUAUUGCUUCAGGGUGAUGUUCUUCACUUAGAACCGUGGUGCUAGAGGGUCACAGUCACGUCUUAUUCAAAAUGUCUUAUGUUUGGUAGGGCCACCACAAAACACAUCGCAGUCACGUGGGAGGGCUUUGAAGUUUCAAGAGCAUAUUAAAUGGUCUUGGUACACAGGUCUACCUUAUCAGCAGUGCUAAUUCUUGGCACCUGAUUGUGUUGGCUAAGAGGCAGCUUCCCUUGGGAAGAACACAUACACAGUUGUGAUUUUCUGACCAAAUGUAGGACAACCAUCUCAGUGGGAGGAAAACUUACCUGAGGAAGUCUUCAGAUACCUUUGUGAUAUAGUCAAUGACAACUUAAAGGUUGGCAGUUACAGGGUUAAAGCACAGCUAUGUAUCUUAAUCAUCACCACAUCUCAAGGUUUUGUCAGCAAAGGAGAUAUCUUCCAAAUGAGAAGAGGCAUUUUGCUGUAAAGAAUCCCUCAUCAAAGACAAUAGAAUAUGAAGGUACAAGCUCGGAUGUUUUCAGACUGGCAUCUAAGCAAUUCAAAACCCUGAGGAUAAUGUCUUAUUCGGAGACCUGAAAUACAAAUGAAUAGUAACGUUGACAACCUACAACCAAAUACAGGGAGCAAAGAACUUGAACGCUUAAUGAAAACGUCUUUGUGUAAAUGUAUUGCUUUAAACGAAGCAAGAAGGUAUCUAUAGAUACGAAACCCAAAUGAAUUGGACAAUAUGUUCAUUAUCCUCAUACUUGGGCAGCAGACUAAUUCCUAUGUGGUCCAUCAUUGUGUGGAAGUCCUGACUCUAUAUCUGGCACAUAUUAGCAUCGGCCAGCUAUCUUUCAAGAGUUCCAGGACAUCCGUCUAGCCUCUAAAUCCUUAACAAGUGUUGGAACACUUGAGUAUUCAUAUCGCUCUUUGUGUUUAAAAGAUUCAAUCAUUGUGGCAUUUAUAUUUGUAAGCUGCUUUCAGCAACUCCUUUCUGGAAGGGAAAAGUAGAAUAUAAUUCAAUUAAUUAAUAACUGAAAAAUGAUUGUCAUUUCCCCCCGCUCCUGAGCAACCAUGACCAGCCCAUGCACAUAUCCAGGAUAUUAGAUGCGUGUGACUUCAUCCGGUGCUAAUUUGUUGCCAGAACCCGUGCAGCCUACAUUAUAUGCAGAGCAUUCCAAAGUAGUACAGUGGUACCUCGGGUUACAUACGCUUCAGGUUACAGACUCUGCUAACCCAGAAACAGUGCUUCAGGUUAAGCACUUUGCUUCAUGAUGAGAACAGAAAUCGUGCUCUGGCAGUGGGACAGCAGCAGGAGGCCCCAUGAGCUAAAGUGGUGCUUCAGGUUAAGAACAGUUUCAGGUUAAGUACGGACCUCCGGAACGAAUUAAGUACUUAACCUGAGGUACCAUUGUACAAUAUUUUUUAACAAUGGACAGAUAUAGUCAGGUCAAGUAGAUAGGCUUUCAUGGUUGUUAGUCAUGGCAAGUUCCCCCCAGGCUCACCUUCAUUUAUUUUUCCUGAGCAUUCUGGGAGAAUUUACUACUUUGUUUAUUGUGCAGUUUAUGACUGUCAGUCUAUAAAAGAGACUGCAAGUCUAACCUCACUUACCUGGGAAUAAGCCCCACUGCAUUCAACAGGACUUACUUCUGAGUUGAAAUGAUCAGCAUUGCACAUAAAAUAAAUGGAUUUGGGGGUGGUAACUUUUCAGGUUUUGUCUCACAAAACUUGGAAGGACUUGACACAGCGGAGCUCCUUCUUCCCUUCACUCUGAAUUUUGGACCACUCUGCAAAAAGGGGUGGGAGGCAGGAACUGGUGAUAGGGAUGGCUUCCUAGAUGCAGGUAGGGAUGGGCUAGUCUGUCCAUUUUAGCUUCUCUUUUAAAAAUAUCUAUAACAUACACUUAUAGCACCUCCAACACACACUUAAAGCACAUGACUCCCCCCAAAUAAUGCUUGGAACUGUAGCUUGUUAAGGGUAAUGGUAACUGUAACUCUGUGAGGGAGGAACUACACUUCCAAGGAUUCUUGGCAGGUGUCAUGUAUUUUCAGUGUGCGUGGAUCUGCCCUCAGUUUCUAAUUUUAAAUUCAUUUCAUUUCUGCAAAUGAAUACAUCUCACCAUAGUGAGGGAAACUAUGACUCUGCACCUACCUGCUCAGUCUUCUGUCUAGGCGUUGAUUGUUGAUGGGAAACUUCAAGGCCCUUGAUCCCCAUUCUUAAUCUUUACACUGGACUUGGACCAGUCAGUUCAAAGGCAGGAUUGUUCCUUUUGUUGUUGUUUAGUCGUUUAGUUGUGUCCGACUCUUCAUGACCCCAUGGACCAGAGCACACCAGGCACUCCUGUCUUCCACUGCCUCCCGCAGUUUGGUCAAACUCAUGCUGGUAGCUUCGAGAACACUGUCCAACCAUCUCGUCCUCUGUCGUCCCCUUCUCCUUGUGCCCUCAAUCUUUCCCAAUAUCAGGGUCUUUUCCAGGAAGUCUUCUCUUCUCAUGAGGUGGCCAAAGUAUUGGAGCCUCAGCUUCACAAUCUGUCCUUCCAGUGAGCACUCAGGGCUGAUUUCCUUAAGAAUGGAUAGAUUUUAUCUUCUUGCCUUCCAUGGGACUCUCAAGAGUCUCCUCCAGCACCAAAAAGAGGGCUGUCCUCUGUAAACUAGGACACAUAGGCACCAUAACCUUAUGUAAGUUUAUGUAAGACAACAGCAUUACAAAAAGUAUUAUUAUUAUUAUUAUUAUUAUUAAUGCACUACCUUUCAUUUCAAAAAGAAAUACCAAAGUUUUCAUGAAAAAAUAAAAGCAAACAGCAAAAUAACAAGUAUAAAACCAAUUAUAAAUAUAUUGCUAUCCAUAAAUAGUAAAACCGUUUCAUCAAAACCUCCAUAGAUAAAAUGUAUAAUAAAAUAGCCCAUUAAAACAGCGUAACAGUUUGAACAGCGGUUAAGGAAGGUUUGUUCAGAUCAGGAAAUCAAGGAAAUAAUGGUCUCAAGAACUGUCUUCAAGAGCCGGCAGAAUGCCAAUACUGAUGGGGCCUCUCUUCUCUCAGCAGGGAGAGUAUUCCACAACACUGGUGCCACCAAUGAAAAUUCCCAUCUUCACAAGCCAAUAUAAAUGUUGCUCCUUGCCCAUUGUCUAUAGGAGACUAAACAAAGAGAAAGAUAGUGGGUGUUAUAUAUUCAGUGCUCUGUGUUUGCCUGAGCUUGAGUCUGGACUAAGGAUUCUGAGCCCCUGUGUUCUGAUUCGAUACAUGAUAUCCAGUGACAUAACAUUUCAGGAUUUGGGCCUCUGCCAUUGGCCCUUAAACCCUGAGUCAUGAUUCGCAGCUUGAAAGUUUAGACAGCCAAUCAUGUUGGGAGUGGCCCAGGCCUUCAGAAAUGUAUAUAAGCAGUUGCUUUGCCCCUGCUGUCCAGUUCUGUUAGUUCAAUAAAGGUUCUUGCUGUUAUCACUGUGUCUUGCCUCAUGGGAACCCACCUACACUUCAGUCAGCGUGAGAGAAAUAUAAUUGUCUUCUAUCAAAAUAACUGGAUGAUCAGAAUUGUGGCGGUCAAAUUUCCCUCCUCCAUUUCUUGAUUAUUUGUCAGUGCAAAAUAUUAAAUAACUAUUCCAACCAAUAUGUCUCAGCUCCCAAUAUCCACACCCUCUGUGAACUUCAAGAAAUAGGCUCUCACUUACAUUCAUUUGUUUUAAGAGUAUCUUGCUAGAAAUUCUCCACUGUUCCUCGGUUAGGAUCUAGACACGGUGAUAUCGGUACAUCUCUGCGGAAGGCUCUUCUUACCUUCUCUCCAGCUUCGCUGGAAGUAUUGCUUCCAUCAUCAUUGCUUUUUUCCUGCCCUUCAUCACAUCCUCAGGGUAUAGAAAAGCUGGCAAAGGUGAAACCUGAGCUGUGCCAAGAGCCUUGGAACAUCUCACAGUUAGAAGUCGCAACACUAGAUUCUCCCAACGGUGGGAGUAUUCAAAGGCCCCCACAUGGCUCAGAUUUCACCUUUGACACAUUCUCUUGCAGAUCAUAUGAUCUAGAUCAUAUGACUCCUUUGGAAUUGUAUGUGUUUGUGUGUGUCUGUUUUUGUGAGUGUGCUCAAACAGGAAAGGGACAAAAGCUUUCCGAACGCCUCCUUCAGGUGUGGGUUGGGCCACACAAAGAGCCCCCAUGAUUAAACGUGGGUCACCUUGGAUAUAGAUGUGUUCCUAGGAUUCCCAGAACAAAUGUUUCAAUUCAAACAUAAUCUGGAUCAAGACUAUAUUAUGCAAGAAAUAUGUUAGGUUUCUUCUUCAGCCGCCCACAAAUCACUAGGACCAGCUGCUCAUGGCCCCAUCCUAUAUAGCCGGGAUCAGAAAUAAAUGGAAAGACUUCUAAAUUAUUGAAGACAUAGUUAUUUAGCUACAUUAGUUUAAGGACAGUGACAUAAAUGACUGAAGGAUUCACUCAGAGUGUUUUAUGAAGCAGAUCCAAUGUGCAGGUUUUGUGUGACCUGCGAUGACUUUAACGUCUCAGUAAAUCACAAAAGCUUAACAAAUAUUAAGAUGGCAAAGAUUACCUGUGUGUGCCAGAUUUUAUCUUUUAUCCAUUAUCAUUUAGGAAAUGAAAAGCUUGAGUCGGAAAUCAGACAGUAGGUCACAUGACAAGGACGAUCUGUCAGCCUUGCAAGACAACAACCUGCAGCAAGAGGAAAUUGUACAUUUAUGUGUGUGUUUGCGUGUGUGCGCAUGCACAGCACUCAGUCGUACAGAGGCUCGCACGCACACACACAAAUAUAUACAUGCAUUCAUACAUAGAUAUAUUCAUACAUAUAGAUGUAUUUACAUGCUUGUUUUUCUGGGGCUCGUAUAGACAUUUAUAUAAAAAAAUGACACAUAGGCAGAGCAAUAUAAUACACUGAGCGUAUAUGCUCAACUUGGGUGAGGAAAAAGCACAGCUUAGAAAAUCCAAAAAACCAUGGAGAAUGUUUUGCAUUGCUAAUGCAUGCUUGAAAAUAUUAGCUGCAAGGAUAUGUGACUGUUUUUGCAUGUUUUUAAAGGUUUCUAAUUUUUUUAUGGUUUUGUUUUUAUUUUAAAUUGUAUUGUUUUGUUUUUGUGUGUCCCCUGGGCUCCUUCAGGAGGAAGAGCAGGAUAGUAAGUAAAUAAAUAAAUAAAUAAAUAAUAGCAUUUAAAAGUUGCUUUGCACCACACCCUCCUUGAGUGCUUCUGGCUGGCUGAAUUGUGGAAUUGUGGAAAUGAAAGGCCUGAGAUAGGUUUGCAUGGCUGGUAGGUUUGUGUGGCUGUUAUGUGCUCUGCUCUACACAGGUAAGAGUCACAUCUAUUGCACUCCUCACUUUCGCCUUUGGCCCCUCCCACCACUGUCAUGUGACCCCUGGAAGGUCACCCAUCAGCAAAUGUGGUCUUCAAGCUGAAAAGGGUUUCCAACCCUGGUCUAAGCUAUAGUUCGAAUGCUUUAAAGUUGGGUGGAGAGUCUCUAACUUUUCUUAUAACUUUUGGGACCAUUGAAAAUGGAAUGGAACUCAAUAUAAAAUGGAAUGCAAUAUAAAAUAUUUGUUGGAAAACGUCAAAUUAAGUCAAAGAAAAACAACUUUAUGUAACUGCGUAAAUAAUAGUUUAAUUGUAAAUCAAUACAAUGGACUUAGUCGGAAGUUACUUUUAUUCGCUGAGUCCCACAUUAGAUAUAAUUAUGUUCUUUUUCUAUUCACACAUUCAUCUCUUUUUCUUCUCCUUUUUUCUACUUAUACUCUUUGCAGUCUCUACCAUUCUUGAAUGUUUGUAUGUCGGUAUUGUAUAUAUUUUAAAGUUUUCCUUGUUUAAGAAAAUUUAAUAAAAGAAAGAAAAAAGAAAAGAAAAUGGAAUGGAACUCUCUGUCCCAUGACAUGAAACCUUUGCCCAGCUAUCCCUUGCUGCUUUUUCUAAGUGUCUGUUCAUACAUCCAUUUUCAAUGGAUGGUCAAGAGAAAUGGCUGUGUAUGAAACCAACAUCACAGUUCAAGCAUUACAGAUGAGACAUCUCCAGGCAGUGCAUAGCUAAACUACGUAAUUCUCUCCCAUGGGAGGCAGUGAUGGUCACCGACUUGGAUGACUUAAAUGAAAAUCAGACACAUUCAUCAUCAUCAUCAUCAUCAUCAUUUUUAAUUUGUAUACCAUCUUUCUAUCUUACAAUACUCAAGGCGGUUUACAAGCUGAAGAAACAAAAAAUGUACAUCUUUUAACAAUCUAAUGCAAUACAAAAAUGUGAUAAUAAAACAUAACUUUGAAAUAGGCAACCUACAUCAAAAAGUAACAUUCAACAAUCAUUAGAAUAGUAUUAAAUAAUAAUAACAUAUAAAAGUUAAACAGAAAUCCACUCAACAGUUACAAUAAAUAAUUUCUAAACUAUAAUCAAUAAAACAACGGCAAGCCACAGUACAUAAAAUAAUACAAUACAAAUUGAGAAGCAGAGUCUAGAGGGUGGGGCAAGGCAGGUGGAAAGAGGCCUUGCCUGAUGGAGUCUCUCCCCUCACAGUUCUUCCUCCAGAAACAGCUCCCUUAUGAGGACUCCUAGGGUUGGAGGGUGGCGCAAGGCAGGUGGAAGGAGGCCUUGCCUGAUGGAGUCUCUCACCUCACCCUCAUUCAUGGGGGAGACAGUAUCGAUGGCUACAACUCUGCCUCCAAGCUCUGCACACCAGUUGUUGGGAACUGCAGGAGUGAUAUUGUGCCCAGGUCCUGCUUACAUGUGUCCCACAGGCACCUGGUUGGCCACUGUGAGGUCAGGAGUUCUUAUAUUUCCUGGCAUCACCUAAAAUCCAUAGGUGUGGGCCAUUCACAUAGGUGACAGAGCUCAAGUAAAAGAAGAGUACGGUGGUACCUCAGGUUAAGUACUUGAUUCGUUCCAGAGGUCCAUUCUUAACCUGAAACUGUUCUUAACCUGAAGCACCACUUUAGCUAAUGGGGCCUCCUGUUGCCGCCGCGCCACCGGAGCACGAUUUCUGUUCUCAUCCUGAAGCAAAGUUCUUAACCCGAGGUACUAUUUCUGGGUUAGCGGAGUCUAUAUGUAACCUGAAGCGUCUGUAACCCGAGGUGUCACUGUAUGCGUGGUGUUGAGCUGUUGGCUCUCAGGCUCAUUUGUACCUGGCUCACAUGGACGAUGGCUUCUUGAAUGAACUCUAAUAGUUCCAGAACGGCUUUUUCAGAAAUAGGUGGCUGGUCGGAUAAGGAGGGUUGACUGUGUCAAUUUUUCACAAGGUCAACAUUCUUCUGAGAGGAAAAUGGCAAAAACAGGUUAUUUACUGGGACAUAAUAUUUUACAAGGACAGGAAGAAGCAUCACAGACAGAAUAAUUGCCACACCCCGGAAGAACAAGGAUAUAGUUUGAAUGCUUCACCUGUAGCUUUAUAAAUCAUUUAAUGUAUUGAUGCAAAUGGAAGUCGUAAAUAUUGCAGUUGUUGUAUGAGGGAUUGUUAUUUUGACUGGAGUGCAAUUGAAAUUAAUAAGAGUUUGGAAUGCAGAAAUAAAGCAAACCAUCAAACCGUCAAUUCUAGCAUGCAGGGGGUACCUAAAUUAUAUAAUUUUGCAUCUAAAUGAUUGGCAUUAGUAAUUGUAUUAUAAUUUGGCAUUGCUAUAAUGAGGCUAUUAUUGGAUUAUUGUAUCUGAAAACUAAUAAAAAUUAUUUUCAAAAAAAAGGUCAGCAUUCUUCUGUGGUAGCAUGAAGGAAAGUCUCUAAAGAAACAGAUAACCUGUAGAGAAGAAGAAGAAGAAGAAGAAGAAGAAGAAGAAGAAGAGGAGGAGGAGGAGGAGGAGGAGGAGGAGGAGUUUGGAUUUGAUAUCCCACUUUAUCACUACCCUAAGGAGUCUCAAAGCGGCUAACAAUCUCAUUCCCCUUCCUCCCCCACAACAAACACUCUGUGAGGUGAGUGGGGCUGAGAGACUUCAAAGCAGUGUGACUAGCCCAAGGUCACCCAGCAGCUGCAUGUGGAGGAGCGGGGAAGCGAACCC